CGUACACAUGGAUCUGACUCAGAGAGGUUUGAGCUCCUGUUAAAAACGGACUCAGCCGUGCAGCAAAACUGGAAACUGAGACACUCCUCAUGGUAGGUGCAGAUAAAAACUUUGACUUCAUUGUUUGUUAGCUUGUUAGCUUCUUUCUGGUUGUGGUUUGGAGGGUGUAGCUCAUGUGAAACAUAUACCUGCUGUUACCUGCUGCUGUUUGAAAGUGGAUUUCUGAGGAUUCAGGGUCCAGCUAACAACUUACAACUCUAAACUCUUUCCAUGUUUCAUGUCAAAACAUUUCACAAAGCUAAUGCUAACUCCGGCUCUCUCUUCUGUUUGAUAAGUUUGACUGUAAUGAGAUAUUAGCUGGUAAAAAAGCUGAUUGAUUGCAAAUGGAGCUCCUGCAGAGGAGAAAAAUGACAUUCAAGAGCGAUUCGACUUGCCUUAACGGUUCAUAUCUUUGUCAAAGCAACACAAACAAAACAAAUCUGUAAUUUAAGGUGUAAGUUUAACGCACUUCAGUGAGCCGGUGAGACUCUGCCAUGCUUCAACUCUUUAAGAUGUCUUCAUGGAGGGUGGAGGUGUUUGCUGCUCAGUCAGUGGUUUCAAUCCUGACAAAUAAACUGAUUCAUAAAAGAGCUUUGAGUCACUUAGGCUACGUUCAAUUCCGAUUUUUAACCAUAUGUGACACAUAUCUGAUUUUUUCAUCUAAGUGUGAACAGUGCAAUUCAGGUUUUUUCAAAUCCGACCCAGGCCUCUUUUGUAUGUGGAUAUAAAUUGGAUAUGUAUCUGAUGUGACUACAGUGUGGACGCUCAGGCACGUUCAUCCAACCGAUAUGUCGUCAAUAUGCGACAAACGUCACCAUUGUUCGACAACACAAACAGGCGUGGAAAGCAAUUUGUGCUUUGUGUGCAUGCGGGUCACUGAAUUGUGCAUCAUAACCUGCAGUGUGAACGCAGCCUUAGACACCCAUUUGACCCUCUGUACUCCUGCUGUCUUCUCUUUUCGGCUCACAGCAGCCAUGUUUACAUCUGCAAAAUUUCUUGAUCUGAUUUGGACUUACGCAGAGUUGUCUAAUUUCGCUAAAACAACCACAGAAGAAGAAGAGUUAAGUACGAGAAGAAGUACGCCUGUGCGGUCAACAAACCAACAAACGCGGUCGUGGCUCACUCCAUCCGAUUCAGGAUUUUCCCUUCUGUUAAAAGUUGUCACUAGAUGGCGCCCUUGUGUACUUAUUUUACUGUUCUGUCAAAGGUUGUGCUGUGCGUGUAGAUAUCACUACGCUGUAUGUAUGCCUUGUUAUGUCGGCAGAGGAGCAGACACGGCUCCAGCGGUUGUGUUUUAUGCCAGAGUGAUAUAUUCUGACAUUGCCUUUUUUUUUUUUUUUCCAAUUUGUACUUGUGAUUUAUUAUAUCGCAGGUGAGAUUUAACUGUUCGUUAAUCAAUGAAAUCACUUCCUGUAGUCCGAAUAUCGCAGACGGCAGAGUCGCUGUGCUUUAAGGAUCCUGAUGAGGUGUCUCCUACUCAAAACAAUACUAAAUGUGGCUUAACUAUAAAGCAUCUCUCUGUGAGUCAAACCUGAAUGAAAGAAAAUGUUGAUAACAUGCCCUCUGUCCACGAUACUGUCCUUCUUCUCUCACAAAUGAGGCGCACGGAGAAUUAUUUACAGAAACGCAAGAUACAAAUAAAACACAAGUAUGAGAAAUGUUUAAAACACACGUUCGACAAACUAAAUAGCAUGUGUGAAUUGAAAAAAAUAAAGGUCAUGUCACCUCCUGGGCUCCGCAGAAACCUUCAGUACUGACCUCAAUAAAUAAACCAAAAGCUGAGGAGUGAAGAUCGAGUCAGGUAAGAGAGUCGUGGUCAGAGUACGUGUUUACGUGGACGCGUUUCGGAAUAACGAUCAGCAUAAACCAACCUUCUGGAUCGGAAUACAAUUUCUUUCCGAUUAAGCCGAAUUAGAUCAGAAUCUUCUGAUCGAGAUGUUUACAUGACGCAGUUUUAUUCCGAUUUAUUCCUCAGCUAGUGUUGGUGUUGGUGUGGCGCUUGCAAAGGUUUCCUCUCCUUUCGUACGCUGUUUAAUGUUUUUAGUGUGUGUAUUAUUAUUCUGCCAUCGCUCUCAGCAUGUUUGGAUGGAUUUCACAGAUCUUAUAACCCAGGAAGAGGUCAUAAAAAAGCACAUAUGAGGACGUUAAGAUCCUGUAACCUUAUUUUGGAGGCAGAAAUACAGAAAUCUGUAUCCAGAUACAAUAAUUUGUAGGAUGUGUUCAGAGGGAGGUUUGCACGCUGCAGGAGUCUAUAAUCUUCUUUUAUUUUUGCAGAACAGAAGUGUUGGGUUCGAAGUGCCGCUCUCUGAUUUAUUUCUCUGAAUCCUGUCAUCACAGCCUCUGUCACUGACUUGACAAAGAGCGCUGUCUGAGUAUAAGUGUACUCUUUGUGAUGACAGCACUGGAAAAGCAAUCACAGCCCAGGGGAACCCCUCAAGAAACCCUGUAUGUCGCCCGUGGAAACCCUUUGCAUGUGGUCUCUGCGAAAAACACACACGUGAACGGUGAAUCAUACGCACGCUGUAGUGGCGGUGACAGACGGGAAAAUCAUCUCAGGAUUUUGGUUCAGGUCUCUCUCUUUGUGUUUCUCUAAGUGUCUGUGACAAGGCAGGGUAAUGAUCUUUAUGUGUGUGUGUGUGUGUGUGUGUGUGUGUGUGUGUGUGUGUGUGUGUGUGUGUGUGUGUGUGCAGACAGAUUAAGCCCCUCCAUGGAUGGAUACUUGUGUUUCUCUGAAUGAGUAAUGUUAAAGACGGAGAGGAGAUGCGCUCCAUGACUCACCAGCUCCAUCUGUCAGAGUGAAUAUUUACACUCACAUUUCCAAACUAACAUUUUCAUGAAAGGCAAAUAUUGAUCUAUUGAAGAGUACGUUUAAAGACAUAAACGGAGGAAGGCGCUUAAUAAGAUAAAAUGUAGAGAUUUAAAUCCGAAAGAAAAAUUCAUGAAACUGAACCUCUGACCCUCCUGGAUACUGUGUGAAUUUAACUAAUAUCUCACUUUUCUGAAUGAGAUCUAGGGCUGCACGAUUAAUCCAUUUUAAAUCAAAAUCAGAUUAUUUGAUUACGACAAUUAAAAAAAAAAAAAAAAAUCUUCAAAUCGAUUCUCCUCUCUAUCAUGUCUCGUGCCUCCAGGCCACCGUAGGCUCCUCCCCCUUCCUGCGGGAGCGCUCCCCAGUUCCCACACACACCAGUGUAAACAAACAUGGUGUUUGCAAAAGAAGGCGAUAAUUUUGUGGCUAAAUUGGACAAGAGCGAGUCAGUCGUGUGGAAUUGGUACGGCUUCGCAGUUUCAGAUGAAGAGCAAACCACUCCCCGCCAUAAAGUCUGUCUGAUGGCGGUAUCAGGAGUAAACGCUAAAGUUUUUUGUUGUAUUGCCAUUUCAUCCGCACGGAAAAGCCUUAAAUCCGUAAACGACGACCAUUUCAUCUCCAUGUCUAUCUGCAUCUCUGGAAACGAUCAUGUGACACAGCGUAACUCUUUUAUGGCGCCAAAACAACCUUAAUACACAUGCUCUGUACUCUUCUUCUGUCUUUUUGUGCAUUUCCUGUGCGGGGUUACAGCGCCACUUAUUGGCUUGGCAUAUGCACUACAUCUUUUUAGGUGGUUUCGUUUUGAGUGAUGAUAGAAAAACGUUUUAUUUUUAGUGAAGUUUGAUGAAGUCACUGAAUAAAAAAUCAAAAAACAGUUUUCAGAGAAAAAAAUCCAGAUUUUGUUUUUGGCCCCAGUGAGUUCACAGUUGUAGCAAACAGAGUAUCGGUGAUCGUCGAUGAGACUCCAGACAAUCGAAUUUCCCUCAAUCAAUUAAGUUCUUGUAUUGUUUUUAUAGUGAAGAACUUUUGGUUUGUGCCAAUUUUGGCGCCCCCCAGUGGACAAAGUAAAACCUCUUAUUUCUUGUCCUAAAAAUAGUCUCUUCAGACACAAUGAAACCUGUCGCUCGAUGUUCGUAUCUACCCUGAAAAAAGUCAAAAUAAAACACUUUCUUCAGCUGUUUCAGGCGUCAAAAACUAACACUGAAAAAUCUUCGGCUGUGAUGCUGAUUGUCUCGUUUGCUCUUGAAUCAGUUUCAUCCUGCCUCUUUUCCAGUUAAAAACUCAUUAAAGUGGCUUUAAGCAGAGACUGCUUUGUCCACAGGGGGGCGCCAAAGUAAACACACACUGAAAAUUCCUCACAGGAGCUUUAAGAAGUCUGCUGGUAAAGUUAGUUAAAGGUUAAGAAAAACAUGUCUUUCUCUGCACCUGCAUUUGUGACAUGAUCUCUAAACUUGUUUAUAUUGUAGGGUGGGUAAAGAGCGCUCACAGUGUGUGUCUGUCUGCAUGUGUGAGCUCUUCGUUAUUGUUAAUUGAGCCGCUCUGAGACCGGCAGCAGCUCAAAGCAGGAAAUAAGAGAAAAACUCAAGUGGCUAUCGGUAUCAUAAAGGAACAAACGUGAUGGAGGAGAGGAGAGAGGGAGGGAGAGAUGAUUCACAGCGUUAAUCCAAAUUGAAUAACAUUGACAACGUCUCUGUUUCUGGCUUUAUUUUCUAUAUUUUUCAUUUCAUUUCACUGUAUUUCUUUGUUGCUCGGUUUAUGGGUUCCUAAGGACGAUAUGAGACACUUUGUCUUUUGACAGGAAACAGCUGUCUGGUUUCUCUCCGCAACAUUUCUUUAAAAAAAAACACACAAACUAACUAAGGAACAAACAGCAAUCAGUAGGUAUUCAUUAGACUCUCUCUCUCUAUCUGUUAAUAGAGUGAAUUAGCAUAUAAAUGAGAGAUAGCAUGUGAUAGAAUCCGCUCUGCUCCAAUCUGUCCGUUGGGACUUAUGAUUAUCUCUAUCUCCUCUUUUUCCCUCCUUGCUUAUUACUCCUCUCUCGCUCUCUGUCUGCCUUUUCUGUCUCUUUACAGCCAAUUAAAUCCUCUCCUGUCUCCAUUCGACGACUUCUUUUGCUUCAUUCCGCGUUAUUUUACCGUCUGAUACAGUUAGAGCGAGUCUUUCGCUCUGUUUGUGAUUAUUUGUUUACCUGCUUGUGUGUUCAGGCUGCCUCUGUUGUGCGGUUAGUUUAAGCGGACUUAAUUGCUCCUGACUAAUUAGCAGAUGAGUCGAGGCUUCUGGGAGAUGGCGAGCACACACACACACACACACACACACACACACACACACACACACAAACAGGGAGGAGACAUAAACACACACAUUUAUAGCACCUUUUUUGGUUGGUGCCCUGAGUGUGUGUCUUUGGGUCUCCAGACGGUUGAGGCCCGGCGGUACGCAGCAGGAGGUGUUAAUGAUGUGAGCGCUCAGUGUUCUCUGCUGGGAGUGAGCUGUUGUGUGUUAGCUGCUGUCUGUCACCACACCAACACCAAAACAUCUUCAUAGUUCAUCCAUGUGUGUGUGUGUGUGUGUGGAUCACUGAAGCUGACGUCUUACUGCACAGUGUGUGUGUGUGUGUCUGGUUUUCCACUUUUCGGUUCCUGUGCAUAUUAAAAAUCAUGAAUCUCCCGCCUGCACUCCCUGCCAAAUAACACUCAGACAACUUUAUUAGUAGGUGUGUGUGUCUGUGUAUGUGUGUGUGAGUGUUUACCAAUCCAUUUUUGGUAAUAAGGUUUAAAACAUGCCUCACUACUAUUUCACAAUAAUUCAUAUUUCUGAAUUUUUGGAUGUAAACGCGCCUCGUGUUUUCAUGUUUUCAUUCUGUGUUUGUGUUGCCGCCCAGUUCUGGUCAUGAGACUUGAGUUUGCGUCACCGUCUGCUUUUUAUAACUCGGUUAAUUUCGGUGGUGUACACCUCUAAUGUGUGUUUUUGAGUGUGUGUGUGUUUGAGAUCACUGUUUGACGUAAUGCUGCUGUACUCAAUCACUGCAGAUUUAUUUCAACCUGCCACGUUCGUUUGGAAAAUCUUACUUGAUGUAUCCAGUCAGGAUUUUUUUUGUCUUCAGAGUCAGAUCAUAGGCUGUAAGUAAAGAUGGACAACACAUCUCCUCAUACUGUUAAAAAAUGAAGCCAAAAUGCUUCUACGAUUGAUGCCAACAUACUGGUUUAUAUGCACUGGGCAGAAAUCGAGUUACUGACAGGAGGUUGUCUACACGGCUGAAAUCCAAAUGCUGCUCUACGGAGCAAAUAUGCAAUGCGCUCUGUACGGAUCCUUCGUACGGUUUCAGAGUGUUGCAGGAAAAGGUUGAUUCUGUUGUUUGUUUCUACAAAAGUGUGCGUUAGCGUCCUGUAGUCGUAUUCGUUGAUUGUCAGUUUUUGAACAGAGGGUUCACUUCGGGUAAAACCAUCCACAUGCCUCGGUUUUUAAUCCAUCAUUGAGCCACCAGGACGAGAUGACACCGCUGAUUUAACUCCAGCGUGGGCUCCAUCACGUCCGUCAUUAGGAGAAUCCGUCUUUGCUAAUGUUGGUACCAUUUUCUGCUGACUCGUCAUUUACCUUGGCCGCGUUUGAGGAGCUUAAUCCGGCUUCACCCGCAUGUCUAGGGUAGUUGCUAGAGUAAACAUCUGCGUAGUCUUAAUUAUUGCCCCGUGAUGACAUUUUUCCAAUAACCCAAAUGAAGCAGGAUUUGGCGCUCCGGCUCCAGGACUGAAAACCAUGAAGAAGAUUUAUGGCGCGGAGGAACGCUGGCGUGGUUGUGUUUCAAAUGCAGAUCUACAUUUGUCUCUUUUAUAAAUUUAUGCUCUUUUUCGGCGCUCUACUUUGCUUUUUUCCCAGAUAAUUUUUGUUUUCGCUGCCGGCUGGUGUAAAGUCCGUACAAACGGAUACACAACACACUCAGACGCACUCGCGCAGCGCUGAUGAGGAUGGAUGACGCUGGACUGAGUGAAUUAAAGUGAAUCUCUGUGUGUUAGCACAGGAAGAAAAUCUCCGACACACACUCCGACACACACCAAACCCUUAAGGUCUGACACCCUUUCAGAUAUCCGCAUUAGAGCCUGUAAUCUAAUUCACGGCUAUCGUUUUACAAAUCGAAUCAUGACACACCACUCAUAUUCAAUAUCACCAAACCUGCAGCCUUUUAGUUUGGCCUCUCAAACCGGCGUGUAAAAGCUUCAUCACAGGCCGCGCUGAUGAAAUUACCCUCUAUUAUCCGCCCUCUCUCUUUCUCCUCUUCUCGCCAACUCUCACUCCCUCCACUCACUCUUACUUGAAGGAGUGUGCAGAUUUAAUUUGCAGCAGGACUCAUGAGCCACUUAGAGCGAUCUCUCCCCGUGUGCAGGGAUUGAUUGAUUAGGUCUUAUCUUGUUAUCUAGGUCUGUGGUCGUUUGAUAGGCCUGUUUGUUCUCUCACUAGUCUCUCAGUCUUUCUAUCUGUAUCCCUUUCCUUUUUAUGUAAUUUCAUGCCCGUCUUCUGUGGAGUGUUUGUGUGUCUGUGUGUGUGUGUGUGUGUGUGUGUGUGAGUGCGUCUCGGCCUUCAGCGUCUCUGUCUGCUUUCCCUCCGAUGUGGGAAUCAGACACUGAUAAGGACGGAUUGUCUUGCAGGAUGAGAAUGAGAAAAUUACAAGCUUUUCCCACUUGCAGACUCACACCUCCCUCCCGCUCUGCUGUCGGACUGUGACCUGAUACUGUUUCUCAGAAUUCACUCAAAUCACUCGUCGGUAAUGUCUGACUAAGUAAAUACUGAGCUGAUGCAGUUUCAUCCACCGGGCAUCAGCAUGUUGUUGUAUUAACAAUCUCUUUUCCCAUACACAAGUCUCAGUGUCAUACAAACACGGUGAGGAAGGAUGAAAGUGUGGAAGGCAAGAGUUUAAAGCUUCAGUGAGGAGUUUUUAAGGUUCAUGAAAUCAACUUAAAUUUGUUUUUAUGCCUUUUAAUGAAACACAAAAACAAUCGACACCAUCGGAGACAAGGUUUAUGAUUUUUAUAUUGCAGUUUUGAAAGAUGAAAACCGGUGUGAGGGUUCAAAUAUAUACAAUAAGUCAUGUAUUUGACUGUAAAGGUCCUUUCACACCAGGACUGUUUUUGUCGUGUGAUAAUUUCAGAUGUCAAUAUUUUUUUCGAACCUGUAUCCUGUCAAUACAAGCGUUCAUAUCAGUGACUUUUUCCCAUGCUAGGAUAUUGCGGCAUUUUUUUCGGAUCAUGGUCGAUUUUUCUAAAGUUUUGCAUACUGUAUGUCCACUUCUGACCAAUCAGAUUUUGUGUUGUUGAGACGUCUGAUUCACCCAUAAAUCCAACAUGGCCGACCAGCUGAUUGUUUACGUGUCGGAGAACAAAGUGAUUUUUGAUAAAAGACGAUAAUAUUACAAAGAUAACGACCUGAAGGACAACUUGUGGAGAGUCAUAGCGUCAGAUUUCUCAUUUAAUGAUGGUUUGUGUGCUUUAACAGUUUGCUAAAAGUCUUUGUUUUAACUUUCAUCUGUGCUAACAUAAGCUAACGGUUGUUACCAUAGUUUCAUGCUAUCAUGACAGACAGACAUCUCAACACUAGAGUCUAGUCCUCUGCCUCUUCAAACUUGGAGCUAAUUGUUUCAGCAGAACUUCAAAUUGUCCAACUGACAUUCGAAAACAGGUUCUGAAGUGACCGUGGAACAGUUUCAGCUCCUGAACCAGCAGUGAAACUCACCAAGUUCUCUUCUUUUUUGUAAUAUUGGAUGCACCCGUGUGCGACGUUUCUUUUUCUUUUGAGAAAGCAAAAGGAGGACCAAUUCGCCAUCACUUGAAGUUGAAGUAGACUCCAUUUUUGCCUUUUCGCUUCCACCCGGAAGGUGGGGUUGUUAAGGGAAGGGCCCGCCCUCCUUCGCCUCUGAUUGGCUAUAAGUUCUUACUGUUUGGCUUGAGCGUGUGAUUACGUUUUCAGCUUUUCUAGCCAUCAGAGGCGAAGGAGGCGGGACUUCCCCACAGAAAAGUCUUCCUCAGCAUGCGUUUUUUUCCCCCUGGACACAUUCUGGAUGGGUCACGAACAGCUGGUCAAAAAAGUAAAUAUGUGAUGCAAUUUUUAUUAGAUAGUUGAUAUUUUCUGUAUAUACAACUUCAGUAGUAGUCGUCCUCAUGUUGUCCCCUUCAUGUUCUCUGAAAUGCACUUUCCUUAAUAAAACGAGUGAAUUUAUGUUAAAAUUAGAGUCUUUAAAGGUUUUUUGUUUAAUAAAAUAUGAAUUUGCUUGGUUGGCAUUCUAUAAAAGUGGGUCGCGACUUAAGGACUAUGCGGAAAUGUGGGUCCCAGAGUGAGACCAGUUGAGAACCACUGGCUUAAAUGAUAAAAUCUUCAUUUCUGUCCUCUAAAAAAAAGACGUCUGACUUUGAUGAAAACGUCUUUAAACUUUUCUUGACAUGUUUCCAAACAUUUCAUGGUCCUGUUUCCCCCUAAAACCACCUUUUGGCCCUCAUUCUCCCCUCCCACAGCGUCAAACCCGGACCCUUCCUCCUCACCCCUGCACCCCUCUGUCCUCCCCCUCCAUCAGUCCUGACCACCUGCACUCCUCCUCCUUCCCCUCCUUCGUUCUCUUCGUCUCCACCAGCAGCCUCUCUUCCUCCAGUCUGCUGCACUUUUCCCACCGUCUGCCCCACUCUGACUCGUAAACACACACACACACACUCACAAACACACACACUUGGAGCGGCAGGUUCUCUCUAAUGACGUCCUCGGAGUAUAAUUAGUCUGGCCAAUUAACAGCAGUAACGAUGCUUGCAUUCAUUAUGUCAAAUUACAGUGUGCUGACAAAGUGUCAACUCAGCUGCACUCACCUGCUGAGUGUGUGUGUGUGUGAGACUUUAUGUGUGUGUGUUUUUGCUAGUUUAUUAAAUCCUACUCCAUCACUCCAGUAAUAAAGAACACACACACACACACACACACACACACACACACUCACGCAGACACACACUCACACGUACUGUAUACAUGCAUUCAAUUAGCACACUCGCAGUAGAUCUGUUAUUCUGCUGCCUGUUGUCGUGGCGAUGCUCUUGUGGCCACGAAUAAGGCCUGUGAAACCAUUUGGAUCAGUACAUUGGGUUAUUAAAUCAUGGAUAUUGAUUUUCCACAUGUGCGCGCUUGUGUGUGUGUGUGUGUGUGUGUGUGUGUAUAUGUGUGUGUUUGUGUGUACACUGUUAUUAAAUGCUAUAUAUUACUAUGAGUCAGAUGGGAUGUUGGUUGCUGUGAUCUGUGGGGCCCCAGAUGCCAUUUUACACACACAUGCACAUAUUUGCAUAACAGUGAUGAAUUGGGGGGGUGCUGGGUGGGGGGGUUGGACAUGAGGUGGAUUCGUCUUAAUUAGCAUCCUGGUCCUCUGGAGGUAAAAAAAAAACUCGUCUGGGAACCCACACAUGUAGACAAAGACGAACAAAAACACUGAAAUAGGUGGGACAUCUUGUAUCAAACUUGAUGAGAUAUAAAAACUGUGUUCAUGACUCUGCGAUGGAGAAGUAUAAGAAACUUGCAGGAGUGGACACGAGGAGCCAACAGUACAAUAUGAGUUACUGUGACUUUAAAAGUAUUUUUGGGUUAUUUUAAAGUUUCAAAGUUUGUCUAACUUACAAAAAACAGUCAUGACUCUGUAGUGGGAAUCACUGCAUUGGCUCCUCUCUGUGAACACAGUCUUACUACCGUAGUUUUCGGACUGUAAGGCGCACUUAAAAUCCUUCGUGCUCCUUAUAAUCCAGCGCGCCUUCAGUAUGAUUACUUGUUGUGCUCACUGACUGAUUCUAUGUGGUAAAAUACGCUCAAAAACCUGUCGAAAUGAAACAAAGUCGGGUCGUUUGCUCGUCAGUAAAGCUACAGUCUCUUAAUAUCAUCCGAGAUGGACAAAGAGAAAACUAAUAACCAUCUAAGGAGCUCUGGGUCUGAAAGCUUGUGACGUAUUUCAUUUUUCUGGGAAAAAAACGGUUUUCAUAAAUAAUUAGGGCAAACAUGGAACAGAUGAAAAAAUUUAUUAAUUUGUCUUAUUCAUAGACUGUAUAAACUACGGACAACUUGGCUCCGCCUCCCGUCAUUAUACGAAUUUGAAGCCGAAUUGCUUGCGAUAUUUUCGGGAUUUUCUCCACGUCCCUGAACCACCACUUGCGCAGUAGAGUUGUACGAAGUCGAUGGAAGAGUCGCUGUGAUGACACUCUGCUCAACCAUCAUAUCUCGCUGUAGGCUGUAUCAAGUGUCAAUCAUAGAAAACAUGAACCCCGUAAUAACUUUUAAAAACGGAGCUGUACAGAAAAAAAGAGGACUUGGGCACAAACCGGUCUGACAGUAACUACAUGUCAACAUCACAACCAGGGGGGAGAAACAUUUAUAUUCUGUGUAAUAGAUUUCUAAAGUUUGUCCACAGCUCCGUAGAGAUUGCUGGAAGAGGCGGGAUUUAUGACCUAUACUGCAGCUCAGCACCAGAGGGUGCUGUUUUUGUGGUGGCUUCUCCCAGCAACGAGGCAGAUGGUGUCAAUUCUAUAUACUGUCUAUGGUCUUAUUGAUUUUAAAUAGUUUUAAUCUCUCUUUUUGUGUUUCCUUGUAUCUGUAAAACACUUUGAAUUGCUGUGUGUAUGAAUGGCGCUUUAUAUACAAACUUGCCUUGCUGUUAUCUAUUCAGACCAAAUCAGACUUGAUGCUUCUCCAACUUAAAUCAACUUUUCCGGAGCGCGCUGUUUUACCUCAAUGUAAAAAAACUGCGUCGACCAAUAAAACUGUGUUUUUACUAAGGCUGCAACAACGAAUCGAUUAAGUCGAUUCGUCGUGACGAAAAAAUUCGUUGCCAACUAAUUCUGUAAUCGAUUCGUCGGGUCUUUAUAUAUGUCCACGGACACCGGCGUGUAAACAUCAGCAGGACGCACAGAAAAGAAACAGCCACGGCCGAGGCAGUGGCUGAGAAAAACAUGGACACAUCCCAUGGUGUGGGAAAACUUUACCAAGACUGAAAAGGAAGGCGUUCAGUGCAACAUUUGCAAAGCCCAUUUUGCAUGGCACGGGAGUACAUCGAUGAUGGGUGAGCACAGGGCUCUCAAGUCUCACGCAUUCAGCGUGUGACACACGCAUUCCCACUCGUUCACACGCUCACACACCACACAUUGUAUUUCUCACGCAUUUAAAUGAACACGGUGAUGUCCACCAAGUUGCACUUCUUUAACUAUGGAACAGGUGGAAAUCAACUGAGUUUCUCCGAGAGUUCAGAAGCUGCGUGGCACGCGCAAGCCAAUCAAAUAAAGUAUAUAUACUGAACAGCCAAUCAAAAAGCAGCAUUGCUGUAUCCGGGUAGAUUUUGAUAUCUUGCGGUUUAACUACAGAAGAAGACAGACACUCGCCAAAAUAGAGCAGGUUUUUAUAAGGACGAGAAAGACCCGAUGAUUACAGUAAGUCAGUAACCUACACAUGCAGAGACCUCAACACCUCAUGGCAGAUAAACUCAUAUGAUAAACUAAAGCCCUAUGCUAUUGCUAUUAACAGCUGCAUUGAUGAAUUUAGCCUGUUUAUCCGAUUAAUCGAUUAGUUAUUAAAAUAGUCGGCAGAUUAAUCGAUUAUCAAAAUAAUCGUUAGUUGCAGCCCUAGUUUUUACCUCGUGCAUUUGAGCGACUUUUGGGAAUGUAGUUUCUGUGGUUACGAAACAAGAAGCUGUGGUCACAGGAACAUUGUUAGCAGAGUGAAUUUACUGCUGGUUGAAGCCUCUUCGGAGGAUUUUUUAAAAUGCUAAUUAAACGUUCUAUCACCAGCAUUGUUAUUUAGGAGGUAUUUUAAGUUCUACUUGUUGCUCUCCACUGCUGAAUAUACACUUUUAUUUACACACAUGGACUUUCUCCUUACAAAGGACAGGGACCGGAGUAGUCCUCUGAUAGGCAAUUAGCUCACAAAGUGACAUACGCAUGCACACAGAGCAUCAGACAAACACACAAAUACAAGUGCACACACGAGGCAGAGCUGGCUUGCUCUCUUGAUAGGCAAUUAACUGACUUCAGACACCUCAUCAGCAAGCGAACAAAAAUCCUCCUCUAAUCGGACACACAAACACGCACACACACACGUCUUCGCAGCUAUGCAUAUGCAGUGUUCAUCGGAGCAGUGAUAUGCAGCGUGAGCGGGAGAAUCUGUUCCCUCUGCUCACGCCUCAGCAUCACCAAAAUCCAAAUGCACACACACACACAAACACGUUCGCACAAACGCACACUGGCGUAGACUCAUCCGAGGGAUCAGGGGGCAGAUGAUUCGUCAGGAGUCCUGCGGAGUUAAGUAAUCACACUCGGGUGUUUAAUCACUAACGAGAACCUGAUGAUGCUCUUUAAUUAACACAACACUAAUUGAAGAGGGCUGGCGAAUCACAGCUCUCAGUCCUGACUGCGUUUUGAAUAAUUAGAGAGCAAAGGAUUGUGGGCGAGGAGCCACCAGCUGUAGGUGGGUCAGAGGCAGAUUGUGUAGUCUGGAUAUUCUCGUUUGAGUAUUUAGACACUAAGAACACAAAAGUGACUGAAACUACGGCGGCCUAUGAGGCUCAGUGACCUGCAACAGUCCAGACGACCUAGUCCAAGUCCUAAACACAUGCUAAUCACCAAAUACAUGUUUAUAUGAACAAUGCAAAUCCAACAUUGAAGGCAAGUGCAAAAAGAAAAGUUUUGUUCAGCUUUUCACUGAUGGCUCUUUUGUAAACAAAGUCCUGCGACUAUGGCACAGCAGGGACGAUAACACAAGCUAAUGUGGCUGAAUGUGGAGCUCAGGGGGCUCUAACAGGCGGCCCAAGACCGUUUCUCUACAGCCAUAACUUUUCGGUUAUUUCACGACUACCAAACUAUGUAAAAAGAAGCAUCCACAACCUGGAAAUACAGCCAGAGUAAAACGUUUUAGAAGGGGGCUGAAAAGUGCUCAACUUAGGGAUUUUACAGACGUCAGAAUGAGUCUUUUUUUGGUCAUUAUAAAUGUGUGUUUUUGGAGUGAGGCUGGACUCUCAAGGAUUAAAUGUUAAAAAAUGAGCGCCCUGUUUUUUUAUUUAUUUUUUAUUUUUAUUUUUAUAGCAUGUCUUACUACAGUGGCCCUUAGAUGCAAAACACAACGGCAAAUCAGAAAACACAACUGGAAACAAAAAAUACAAUGGCAAAAGAGAAAACACGAUGGCAAGUAAGAAAACACGAAACAAAAAGAGAAAACUCAGGGCAAAUAAGAAAAAUACAAUGGCAGAAGAAAAAAAGGAACAUAAAAAGAGAAAACACAACAGCAAAUCGAAGAACAUAACAUAAAAAGAGAAAACACAAAGGUUAAUGUCAUUGUGUUUUCUCUUUUGCUGCUGUAUUUUGUGAUUUGCUGUUGUCUUUUCUCUUUUUUGAUGUGUUUUCUGAUUUGCUGUUGUGUUUUGCACCUCAGGGCCACCGUACAUUUCUACAUUUAUUUUGACUUUUAUUGUGUAGCUGCACACAUUUUCUCUGCAGUAUUUUUUCCUUUGGUCGCUGCGACUACCUUCUUCAACAACCUCAAAAAGAAAAAUCUGUUAAAAAAAAAAAUCUCGUUUUAAAACUUUAGAAAAUCUGUCUUUCUUCUCAUCUUAAAAUGCUUUUAGACGUUUGGGUUAAAGUUGAGGUGAAUCACCAAAUGUUUUCAGGCAGAGGGAAAUGCUCUGAUUCAGGUUUACCUCCUAUAUUGACAAUAAAAAACAAAAUAAACAUAAAAUUGCGGUUAAUUUUAUUCUGCUUGUUCAGGGACCAUUGCCUGCUCCGGUUAAUGUAAACAGAUAGAGGUCAGCUCUCUAUUAGCUCUUCUACAAACAAUAGCGGUGUUGGUUUUGUUCUGUCUUUUUCAAUAUAAUUGGCUUGGGUUAAUCAGUGCUCCACGCUGAUAACUGAUUACAAUUUACUUUAGAUGAUUUAUAGUCACACAUUUAGAGAUGAAAAUUGAAUCAAAUAAGGAAUAUUUUCAUUUUAAAUCCACAACAAAAAGGAAAACAGGAGCUUGUUUUGUCUGGAUAGUGUCCGUUUACAUCUGCAUCAUUGUCAUCGUGUUGGAGUCGAGUCUUGAUGGAGGCUGAACUGAGUCUUGAAUCCUCAGUGUUCAGGUCUGUGACGAAUCUGAGUGUCCAUUUACUAGUCCCAAUCAAGUCUGAGUCCAGCUGCCAUUAUUAAUAUCUUUAUCUAUUAUAAGGAGGAUCGGCGUUUCACUCUUAAGUAUGGAGUCGACACGUUUUUAAAUAAGCUCCUCCUAAACCGCAGACUGUUAAAUCUGUCAAGUCUUGUAAACUUAAUAUCUUCACAUUAAUAUUCACUUCACAGUAGCUUAUUGGAUUACGACAGACAUCCUCCCAGUAAGCACUUUUUUGAUUUUUUUUAUAUUGUGAUAUAUAUCAAUAUCGACUGAUAAGGAAAAAAAUAUAUUCUGAUAAACUUUUUUUCUAUAUCGCCCAGCCCUACCUUCCAUACACAGUGCUGACAAUGCACUGCUUCCCCUCAUGAUAGACAGACAGACAGACAGACUUAAUUGAUCCCAAACUGGGAAAUUCUCAGAGACACCGGACGGUGGUCCAGAACCUCUUUGACGCUGUCUUGAAGUCAUUCUUCGUGGUCUCACCGAACUCUUCCCAUGUCCGGGUUUUUCUGACUGAACUCUUUCUUUAGCCUUUAGUCAUGAGCUGCUGGUAGUGAUAGAAAGAGCAAGAUCGCGGGUACAAGCGGCCUGGAUGCCUCUCGGAUGCCUCGCUGGUGAGGUGUUCAGGGAACGUCCUACCAGUAGGAAACCACUGGGAAGACCCAGGACAUGCUGGAGAAACUAGCUUUCUCAGCUGGCCUGGGAAUGUCCCAUAGGAAGAGCUGGACGAAGUGGCCGGGGAAAGGAAAGUCUGUCCCCAUAACCCAACUCUAGAUAUGCAGUAGAAGAUGGAUGGAUGAAGGUCAAGUUAAGUCCAAGGCCUGGAUUCCAGUGCCUCAACAAAGUCGCCAAAGCCCAUUGGCUGACUCAGAGCUUCCUGUAUCAUUUGUUCAACAUACUUCUGUAGAUUUUCAUGUUUUCCGUGAUUUACCAUGAAUGUACGAACAUGAUCUGUAACAUCUGUGAGCCUGCUGUUAACAAAGAGAGAAAACGUAGUCGUACUAUUUCUGCGUCGGACACCAUGUGGAGCGUUAACAUGGGUUUGAUUCGACGAGGUUGAUUAGCAUGUCUUUAUUAAAGUGGGACGAGAAAUUUAGGGAAGUUUUACAUGUCGGGGAGAUGAAGCGAGGACGGGUCCAAACAUGGCAACAUGGAGGGGAGGAUUAGCCUUUUGUUAAUGAGGAUUACUGCGUAAACCGGUGAAAGGCAACUAAGCCGAGCACCAUCGUCAUCAAACCGAUUUAGUUCCUGGCUCCUAUUUAGAAGGAUUAGCUCACAAUGUUAUUGUAAUGACAAUUGUUUUAGCAGUGAGACUGUUGAAGCUAUUCUCGUCUUAUUUCAUAUGCAGCUGCUCACGUUAGCAUGUUUGCUCUUUUGGUCAGAGCAUUAAACGCCACUAAAAGUAAAAGCCAGGAACUAAAAAAGAAGAACUAGAAAUGACUCAAACUUCUUCCUCUACGUUGGAAGAUUAACCUGAGCGAUGUUGUCUCCUCUCUCCCUCUGAGAAAGCUGCUGCGUUUCGCCUCAGUUUGGUUUCCACACGGGAGAAGGACAAAGGUUUAAAGGGAGGGAGGAUUUCCAAAAGAUAAUUAAGGAGGAAAAAACAGAGAAACUAUUGAAGGAGGCGUGGAGGAGGGAUUUGGAGCAGGGAGGAUAACAGAGGAGCGGAAGCUACCUUUGUUGUGUUUCGAACAAGUGGAUCUACUCAACUGCUUCUCCGACGCCAUGAAUAUGUAUUAUAUCAGGUUAUUCAUCCGCCGCCAUUGUUCCGCCCGCAAAUGAUGUCCCAACAGAGGAACACAGAGCGAAGACAAAGGAAAUUUGGGCAAAAUAAAACUGUCACAAAAACAAAAAAAAAACCACAGAGCUGUUCUUUUCAUGUCCACGCAGGUUCUUUUGUGGCGACGGAGGAAUCUUCAGAGAUGACUCACUUUUAUUCCAGCGCAUAAUGCCACCUUUUGAAGAGACGGCUCUAAUUAACAUCCAUUUGAAUAAUCAGAUUACUCCACAUUCUUGAAAUGUGCUGGUGAGAAAGCAGGAAUAUAUAGCCUCAUUGUGCACUAAUACAGCAAAGGUGGAAUGGAAAAUACUUCACGUUAAACCUCCUUUUUACUGAAAGAUGUGCAAACUAAUUAAGUGGCUUUACUGCUGGAUGAUUUCAAAAAGUCCUAAAACAUCAUUUUUAGUUUUCUUUGCCUUUGUCUGAUUUUUGGACAGUUUCUGCAUGGCCCUAUAGUUGGUCAUGUAAGUCCAUAUGUUAGUUUUUCCUGUUUGAAAUAUCUUAUCCCUUACUAGACGAAGCUUAAAUGUUUAAAAUGAUUGAUUUAGUUAUUCAUAAGAAAGACUGAGAACCCUUUACUUUAGCUGACAUCUCUUGCAGCGGUUUGAGUGGACUGAAUGAUUGGGCUUUAAUAAGUUACAAAGUUUGUAUACAUGAUAACCUGAAACACAAAUAUAAGUUUUUUCAAUUUUUUUAGCUCUGACAGCAUUUAGUAAAGACUUUUGUUCAAUUUUUGCAUGACUGUUAGAGCCCAAUAUGCAACAAUGGCCUGAAAUGUGAUUAAAAGAUAUGUAAUAAAAUCUAAAAUGUAAUAACUGAUCAAUAAUGUAAGAAAAUGCUGAAUCCAAAACUUUUUGCCCAAAAUGAAGCAAUUUUGUGUCAGUUAUUAUGUUUUGGGUUUUAUUACAUCAUAUUUAUAACAUUUCAGGUCAACACUUUUGUUACGCUUUUGAAAAAUUUUUACAUUUCGGACUUUUUAGCAUUUUUUUAAAUAACAAUAAAAGUUAAAAUGUUGACUACACAGACAAAAACACAGCGAUAUCCUUAUAUUCCCAAAUGUCAUCAAUAACUAAUAGCUAUUGACUGAUAUUAAAAGCUUUUUUUGUAAAUACACCAAUAAAAAGAUGCUUCCUUAACAAAAAUCCUGCCUCCCUCCACCUUUAAGUUUAGGCGAGCUCCUGUGACUUCGAUCCGUUGGUGUCAGGGGGUCUUGAAACUCAGUCUUGACCAUUUGGAGGCAGUUUUACGCAAAUUAAGUUGUUAUAAGAGAGGACAUCGUCAUCAACGAAUUGGCGCACUUUAACUAAUUGCUUUGAAUGUGAUUAAUACAUAUAAGCUUAAAAAAAAACCUAAUUUAGUCAAUCAAUAUGACUUUGGGUUUACUUAUUAAAUGUAUUAAAGCGCUAAUAUACGGAUAAUAAUAGAAAAAUAGACAAACAGUGAAGAGUGUGUCUACCAUUACCAAACAGAACAAUGAACAUGGCGCACACACUCACACACACACACACACACAUUCACACACUGCUCUGGUGCAAACACAAUAAUAUAGGUAACACUCACCUAGAGGGACCAGAGGAACAAGGGGCUAAUUAGUGAUGAUGAGAAGUUAAUUUAGUCAGACACCUCAGGUAAUAGUCUCCCCCCUCCUGUCUUCAUCUCCCUCUGUCUCCCCCCUCUUCCUCAAUCAUCCCCCGCUCUACAUAUUGCUUUUUACUCUCCCCCUUAACCAUUUUCAUGUUGGAGAAAAAAAAGGUGUCAAAUGUUCAGUUUUGUGCUUUUUUCUUCCCCCCUUGGUGUCUUUCUACCCCUCCGUCUUUCUCUCCAUCAAACACACGUCCUCUUGUAUCCUUCAGAGAUCUGAGGCGCUGCAAAGCAGGUGAGAUUGUCAAGUCGUCUAAGUGGGAAAUUACAUUAUCUUUCGCUUUGACAUUGCUGAAUUGUGUUGCUGUGUGUGUGUGUGUGUGUGUGUGUAGAUGUGUGUGUGAGACAGAGAGACAGGAGUGAGCAGGCAAGAUGGUUCCUGAGCUAAAUGUUUGCUAGCAGGUGAGCCUGUUGUUGACAGAUGGUGUUUGUGAGAGAAGCUCACUCCCUGCAGAGUCUCACCCCAGGAAAACGCUCAUGCUAACGCAGACAGGCCCACUAUACACACACACAGACACACAAAAGUAUACUUGCGCACACACAGAGCGCUAACACACAGUCACUAGGUCUCUGAGUGGAUUAUAACCUGUUCAAUUUGUGUUGUUCACAGCACAGCCAGGUGAGACAGACCACAAAAGGAAACAGAAAGUACAAGAGAAAUGAAGCUACAACUACGACAAACAUGAACGAUACAGAAACGACAAAAACUGUCUUUACCAUGAGCCGCAGCCUCUUUUAACCAACUAUUUACAAUAAAACUGAGACUCUCCACAAACAGCCAGCAGGAGGAGCUCUACUGUUUUCGCUCUACAACCCCAGUUCCUAAAAAUUGGGAUGUUGUGUUGGACGCUGGUAAAGAUUCGCAACAUUGGUUAUAAAGAGCAAAGUCCAGUGAGGUUCACCACUCUGUGAGAAACUGUGGGAGCACAUUGUUCAACAUUUCCAGAUCCUCUAAAAUCCACCGUCUGUAGUUUACCUGCAACCGUAUUAUGCAAGGAAGAAACAUUUUAUAAACAUGAUCUAGUAAUUCAAAAUUUGACUUUUGAAUUUGAGAACCACCCAGCUCAGUAUCAGCCCACAGCACCAGAACCAACAUCCCUGAUAGUAUGAGUCUGCAGAAGAGUUCAGAGAUGCGGAGGCUUUGCUUCCAUCACAAUGACACCUUUUCCUGCAAAUCCAAGCAAGAGAACGACGGACAGUAUCUGCGCGGCCUUGUAGUAGAAGAGCCAAACUGGUCUGCAUGCACAUGAUGAAACUAAAGACAUAUAAGAAAGAGGACCUGAAGGGUUAAGCUGCUGCAAUCCUGUAUCAGGCCAGGAUGGACACAGGGCAGCACAAUUAAUCGAUUUUAAAUCGUGAUCGGAUUAUUUGAUGAUGACAAUGCUGAAAAAAUGAAAAUCGUCAACUCAAUUUUCCUCUCUAUCGUCUCGUGCCUCCAGGCCACCUUAGGCUCCCCCUUCCUGCAGGAGUGCUCUCCAGUUUCCACACGCACCAGUGUAAACAAACAUGGCGUUUGCAAAAGAAGGCGAUAAUUUCGUGACUAAAAAGGACAAGAGCAAGUCAGUCGUGUGGAAUUGGUACAGCUUCACAGUUUCCGACGAAGAGCAAACCACUCCCCCCUGCAAAGUCUGUCUGACUGCGGUAUCAACCCGUCCUCACGGAAACGAAUUCAGGAGUAAACGCAAAAGCUUUUCAUCCACAUGGAAACGGCGUGAUUGUAAACAGUACUUUUUGAAAAUGGGUCUGAGAGUGUAUAAAUCCAUAAAUGACGACCAUUUCAUCUCUGUGUGGAUGUCUAUCUGCAUCUUUCUUGAAACCAUCAUGUGACACACUGCGUAAAUCUUUUAUGGCGCCUGUGUGUGUCCGACCACAACAACCUUUAUACUCAUGCUCUGUACUCUUCUUCUGUCUUUUGUACAUUUCCUGGGCAGCGUUACAGCGCCACUUACCAGCUUGGCAUAUGCACUACAUUGUUUUUGGGGGUUUCGUUUUGAGAGAUGAUGGAAACUUAUUUUUAAAGUGAAGUUUGGUGAAGUUGUCGCCGAAUAAAAAAAUUGAAAUCGAAAAUCAAGUUUUCAGAGAAAAAAAAAGGAUUUUAUUUUUGGCCCAGACCGUGCGGCCCUAAUGAGACAGCAUCUUAUUUAAAACUCCAGAACCUGGUCUCCUUGGUCUCACAACCUUAUUGAAAAGUGCUGCUGGGACGAUCCAUCCCCACAUAUUCAUCCUCUGUCACAACUCGGUGUGAAAGAACAUGAAUUAAGAGUUAAAAGUCGUGUUUAACUUCUGACAGCAUCCUCAUCGUUGACAGUCUCACGCUCAGACAGCAGCCAUUUUGUGCCUCUGAGAUCAGAUUAGCAGUCUGGUGGCUUCCCGUCAGCAGGUCUGCUGGAGCGUGGCGGCUGUGGAGGAGUCACUAUUAGAGCUAAUAGCAGACUAAACAGCCUUUAAGCCGGGCCUGUUGAAUGUAAUGAGACUUUAAGUGUGUUGACAAGAGGAAGGAAGAACACAGAGACACUGACAUCUUGAGAUUUAAAGACUCUUUAAUGCUGCUACAGAGCCGCGGUAUAUGUCGGGGGGGUAAAUACGCAAACCAAAACAAACAGGAGGAAGGGAAACUAAAGUGUGAGGAAGUCUGAGAAAGUUGAGUCUUCGAGGGUCAAAUAACGGAGUCGACAGAGAGGCAGACAGUGUGAGAAAGAGGGGAGAGAUACAGCGAGGGGAGAGAGAGGGAGCCAGAGAGAGCUCCUGUAAUUAGUCAGUUAAUUACAUCUGGAUGAUGAUCUGCUCGGGGGGAUGGAUGCUGUUUGAGCUGUGUGUGUGUGAGAGUGUGUGUCUGUGUCUCUACGUGUGUGUGUGUGUCUAUCCUUGGCGGCUGUGUACACUCCAGAAAGCGUUUACUGAAAUGGGAGCUAAUUCUCGCUGUCUGAGGCCAUUACGGUAUUAAUUUAAUUUGGGUUAGCUGUCGCUAGCUCAUUAACACAUCUAAUUAAUUCAUUGACAUCAGAAUUAAGUUGUUUCACUGAAACUGACACCUCUCUCUCCUGUAAGAGAGAGUGGGAGGAGAGGCGGCGACAGAUUGAACGAGAAACGGAAGGAGAUGGAGAGCGAUGAUGGAUGAUUGAAUCCCAUCCAUGAGAAAAAUAUUAUUAAUAUUUACAGUUAGCGGUUAGCUGUGGCGUGUUAUGUAGGAAAUGAGGAGGAGGAGGUAUGAAUAUAGAUAGUUGAUUCUUGGGUAUUAAUCAGGGUGACAGAUGAGGAUAAUGUUCACUGUUUAAUGAAACGUGAUUUUUGAGGGUAACCGGCACUUAUUUAUAAUCGUAGUUUACAGAUCCUACAUAAAAAUUAAAAAUCGUUAGGCUUGGAUUUGAGUUUGAGAGGUGCUCUUGUUUCCAUUUGCAGUGGAUUUGGACCGAUUCUGGGUUCGACUUGGAAAACAAAGACAGAAGGAUAAAGACAAUCUAUCAUAGAGCUAGUACUCUGACUCUUAGAUUGCUUUUCUGCGUUUCUGCAUCCCAACUGAAGACCUGUUCAUAUCAAGUAAAUCAUGAGGAAACUGAAGGGCUUACUUUAGGUUCAUAUAGUAGAACUGAACCAGAUUGAGGCCUCUGUGUUUCUUACUAUUGACAGUGAAACUGAGACUUUCCAGAAACAGACAGUCACUCAUUAAAAGAACGAUAAAAACUAAAAAGCUAAGCACAUCACGACACUACUGCGCACAUGAAACAUGAACAUUUUGAUCCUGUUCACUCUCAAUGUCAGCGGGCUCCUAUCAUAGACUGUAUAUAUACCUCCUCGCUGGAUGAAGACACUCCGAGAACAGCACCCUCUGGUGACGGGCUGCAGUAUAGGUCAUAAAUCCUGUCUCCUCCAGCAAUCCCUAUAGAGCUGUGGACAAAUUUGAUAAAAACAAAAAAAAUAUAAAUAAAGUUUUCAGCUACAAUCAGAUCAGAUUUUAUUGAUGAGUGGCUCUAAUAUCCGGCUCUAAUGUUCUCACCACCUGCAUCUCUCUCUAUCUCUCUCCAUCCAUCCACCCGUAAGUUUGUCAGUUGCCGGACUAAACCAUUUUGGGCCCCCAGAAUGUCCAAUAUGUUAGGAGGACUGUGACAUGAAGUUCGUUCUCUCAGUUGAUGUUAUUGAAAUAUUUGAAAUAAAAACAUCAAAAAGAAAAUAAUCAGGAUUUCCACGGGCCCCUCUCCCAACUCGGGCCCUGGGUAGUCAGGUCCACUUCCCCCCACUACCACGCCCAUGUCUGUGACCCUUUCUCUUCAAGAGGCCAACCGGCAGUGUUUCCAACAUAGUGACUCUGUCGCUAGAUUUGGUGACUUUUCAGACCCCUCUAGCGACUUAUUUCAAAAAAGCGCCGAGCGACAAAUCUAGCGACUUUUUCUGGAGUUUAGAGACUCCAACAUAAACGCAGGAAUAGAUGUUACUCUUCUCAACAGGUAGCAAAACACAGACAUUAGGCCAUGACGUCAUCUAGUGACUUUUACAACAGCCACUAGCGACUUUCCUUACUGAGGAGUUGGCAACACAGCCAACCGACCUUCUCAUAUAGGGUCAUAGGAAUAUCAGCAGCUAUGAAUCUGAGAGAAUAAUCAAAGCUUCGGCAUCAUCCUUUACAAACACAAAUGCAACUCAUGCUCUGCAAACAACAGUCAUUUUGAAAUUUGGAGAAAACUGCAUAACUGCAUUAAUCAGUUCUGUGAGGUUUGUUCUCCCAGCCCGAGAAUAAUCUGCAGAUCAAUCAUGAUUUACGCCUUGGUGGAGCGCCACAAUCAUAAUUUACAGCAUCCAAAAUAAACUUCUGGACUGAGACAAACUGCAAACUUGUGAUACAGACAAUAUGACUGAGGAUUUAUCAUCCAGACUGAUGGAUCUUGGGGUUCAUGUUUAUGGCUCAACGUAUUCAGGAGGCCACGUGACCUUCAUACCGGCGUUGGCACCAGCUUUGAUCGUCUGAAACCGAUUCUUCCUAUGGCUACUUACUCUUUUAUUAUGACACUUUGCAGAUGCUUGACUUUUAUGAUACAUCAUUUCAGAGUCAUCAUCUCCGGAUUCCGCUCAGCUGAAGCGUGAUGUUGUGAUAUGUAAUAAACCACACAGUCCAAAUCUCCCCAUGUAGGAACACAUGAUAAUACCAGCCAGUUAAUUAGAGUUUGGAGGGAAGAUUAAUUCGGCACAUCCUGGCGUGGGUGUGUAUUAGAGGUGGGACACCUUUGGAAGUGGCACGCAGUGAGAGCCUGGCUAGAGGUAGGGAUUAUUUGGAUGUAACACACAGUGGGUUUCUUGUUAGAGGGGGGUGUCGUCACAGUCUGUCUCUGCGGUAAAUUUGAUUAAGGCUGGCGGGAGGAUGUGGUCCCACCGUGAACAGGUGCCCCUCACAGCUGAGGCGGGUUCAACCCUUGGUCUCACUCUCUCUGACAUCCUACUUCCUGCUCUUUGUCUACGUGUGUAAUCACUCUACAUUUCCGCUGCUGUCUCCCCUCGUCGCCGCCGCCCCUCUGCUUCAUCUGUCUCUGUUUGUCUCGUAAUCAGUCGCGGCGAUGGAGGCCUCAAACAACCUCCACCUCGGAAAGCUUCUCCAUCCUCGGCUUGUCUUCUCUGCUGCGUGACUUUCACCUGACCCUCAGAAACCUCAGGAGCCCUCUCCCCCCUCCUGUUCGUCUUGUCUUCGAGUGUCCUGAGUAACCCCCCUCUGCAGUGCCCACCUGUCCGGAUCAGUUUAGUCAAACUCUGAGCUUCCUGUCAACCAACACUGUCAUUUUUUAAGCUUAUUGUCCUGAUCUAGGCUUGAGUUUCACGCAUGAUACCGAGUCUGUGGAGAUUAAGGUUUCGUCACGAAUCAUGUCGAAGAUCUGUUCAUCAGUUACAAAAGAAUUUGGACCUUUUUUGAAAAAUUUUGUGCAGCAUUUUGCCAAAUUUUGAGCUUAAGAUGUAGUUAUUUUACCCUGCAAGAAGACAUGCAUGCUACAAUGUCAUGUACUUUGCCACAAUGAGAAGAUAAAAGUUUAAUUUUAAUAUUUAUUUUUUAUUCAUUUAUUAAUUUAUUUGGCCGAGUGGGUUAGCGCACCCUACCUAUGGGCAGUCGCAGGUUCAGCCCCAACCAUACACAUCUCCCCAUACUUCCAACCUACCCUAACAAUAAAAGGCAAAAUCUAUAAAAAGUAAAAAAAAAAAUUAAAAUAAAAUUCUAUCGUCCUCUUUACUCACCUUUUUUAAUUUUAUUCUGAACCGAUUAAUUUAAAAGAAUUUAGACCACCAAGUUUUACAUGAAAAAGAAAAAGCAUUUCCAGUCCUGAGAAAUGAAGUCAAGAGGAAAGUUAAAAAAAAAAAAAACUGCACUUCCUUCACUGUCCACUAGAGGCUCACUGCAAAACCUCUAAAGCCACAUACACACUCAUUCUGAAAACGGUAAAUUUGCUUCUCAUGUACACUGUACAGGAGGUGAAUUUCCUUUUUCACUCAUUAGUUUUGAGGAUAUUAAAGGAAAAUUUCUGUAUUUUUGAAGUAGGGUUUUAUAAAAAUAUAUGUCAUAAAAAUUUAAACCGACUGGGCUGAAUUGCCCACGAAGUUUACCUAAAACUGCCCACCCAACACAGACGUCAUUUAGGUGUCUUUUAUCAGGCCCAUCAUGGCCACUAAUUAGCCAAAAAAAGACGCUGAAAUCUAGGGCGUAAUUUAGACAGUCCGAAUGUAGACGUUGUUUGGAUGUACGGUGACAACGCUUUUUCAACGCCUUUUCAACGCCUUUUCAACGCCUUUUCAACCACUUUUUGCUGGGUGGGUGUGGCCUGUAUUUGGGGCAGUUUUUCAUGAAACAGCCAAAAUGACCAACUUCCAUUGUGGCUAAUGCUCCAACAAGUGGCGUGCAACUUCACGAGUUAAAAACAGAAGGGUUUAAAUUUUGUGUAAAUUACAACAUGAAGUAUAAAAAGUUGGUCCAAGACAGUUUGGAAACCUUUUUUCAUGUUUGGUGUUAAAUGUCAGUAAAACUUCUUGGUAGAGUCUGUAAAUUCAAAAACCACCAAAUUUGGACUCUUCUGGGUUUUGGACCGUUGACAGUUUUAACAUCGACUUACUAUUCCCAAAAGACAGAGACUGAAAAAAAGGAGUGAUGGACAGGGAGGCAGUAACUUCACCUUUUUAUCACUGAGGAGCUCCGUCACCAGCUGCAGCAAUUAACCCCUCGUUCCCCAGGGGAACCAUUAGUAGGUGGAACGGCCCUUUAAAAUUGCAUAUGGCUGCAAUUAAGGGCAGAGAGAGAGCGAUGAAAUGAUUCGGUUUAGAUUUUCCUGUAUAGAUUUUGAGGGAAUGGCCCUUUUUUAUGACCCCAUAAACUGGAGUCAAAGGAGAAAAGUGCAGCAGUCCCUCCUCUCACCUUCACACCUCUUCUUUCUGGUCAAGACUCUUCACCUUCGUGUUUCUGGCGUUCAGUUUUAACACUUUCAGCUCUCUCUUCAUCACUCAUUUUCAGCAUUUCAGGCUUGACCUGAAAGAUUUCUACUCCAGUUUUAACAUCAUUUGCGUUUAUAGCGCUCCCAUUAUCAGUUUUAGUGUAAGGUAAUUAAGCGACUUCUGUUCUUUUUGCCUCUUUUCAGUCCUUUUUUCUGCACUACUUCCCUCAUUUCUUGGCUAACUUGUUCACCUUCCUUUUUCUUUUUUUUAUCUCCUCUAUCUCCUCUAUCCUUCCUGUCUCUUUUCUACCUUAUCCACCCAUCUCUAUCUUCCUUCUUCAUCUCUACCGGCCUCUCUUUCCCCCUCCUCUCUCUCACUUCUCAGGCCUCUUCUCUUCCGUCUUUCAUUUGUUCUCGUUUUUCUCCCCUGCUCAAAUGUUUGUCCUCUCCUCUUCCUCCUGCAUUAACAGAAGGAGAUGGCUUAAGCAUCUGUGUCAUCAGUGCAGAUUAAUGUUCUAAUAAUAUUCACAGAUGUCAUUUCUAAAACUCCCCAUUUGUUUAUUUUCGCUCUCCUUCCUCGGCGGGAGCUCUCCUGCUCUCUGUCGUCUUUUCGCCUCCUUUUCCUCCUCUUGUCAAUGAAUCACAGGACUAAUCACCGACUUCAAAGCAGCCACUUAAGAAACGCCUGUCUCCUUUGAGUGUGACACACACACUUAAACUCACACUCACACACACACUCGCCUCUCCGGCAGUGUUUCUGAGUCAUUCUUAAGCAGGAUAAUUACACAUGAGAGGGACUAAAUGAUUGAAAAAGGGGGCAGGGCAGAAAGAAAGGAUAGAGAAAGAGAGGAAAAGAGACAGCAAAGGGCUUCCUGACACGUUCAUUCAUUUGCUUAUUAUUUAGCUGCUGUAGUUGUUUGUUUACUCAUUAAGGAUAAUCCAAUUAAAGCACUUAAGAGCAGCUUAGGAAGGAGCGCACAUACACACAAACACGUCUCCGAGUGCGUCCAGUCUUGGAGAGAGGACAGGUUGUGGUGGGGUCUGUAAAGCCGGCAGUUUCCACCCCUCCCUGCCACGGCGAACAGGGUUUCUGGAGACGCAUGCCAGGGGCUUGGGGCGCUGAGACCAUAACAUGCCUCCAUGGCGGCUCCAUGUUGGCUCCAGAGCUGGUCAGUCGCCUGCCUGCCUGCCUGCUGUCCCCCUGCAGCGCUUUCCUGUCGAGUGUUGGCUGACUGGUCCCCUUGUGCACAUAUGCCCACUUACACUGUGUUCCUCUCUAAUUAGCUGCUCCUGUCUACACAGUCGUACAGGCUUUGUUAAAACAUUACGACUGACCAUAUUCACAAGGUGGCCGGUUUGCUCUGCUGUCGCGCUCAGGGAGGGAGGCUCAUGCUGUUACUGUGUGGCUGUAGACCAUGUAAAUGUUGGGCAUCUGGCUCUUGUUAUCAUUAAACACUAUCUGUGUGAUUGGCAACUGAAGAGACGACGUCCUGGCAUCUGAAAUACCGAUAAAACCAACUAGCAGCUCAUUUGGUAACCCAACGGACAGGUAGAAAUGGAAAAUAACGGUCAUAAGUAUGUCUCAAAUAGUGGAUAAUCACCUGGUUUUGUCAACUUUUCUUAUCGAUACAUAAAAACAGGUCUCUGUUGAAAGAGGCCGCCAUCUUGGACCACCAUAUAUUUAGCGAGUGGUUGAAUGCACUGGUAAAAAGAUGAAGGAGAAUAGUGCGGCUGUUGUGCACAUGAGAAUUUGUAUCAAUGAGAGUGACCAUACAUCCUCUUUUACCCAGACAUGUCCUCUUUUGGGGGGCUGUCAGGUCUGUCCGGGGGGGCAAUAUUUUUUUUUUGUGGGAUGGUAGGGGAAAGUCCCGCCUCCUUCGCCUCUGAUUGGCUAGAAGAGCUGGAAAUGUAGCACUCAAGCCAAACGUGAGCUGUCGGCUCUGUACAUCGAACAAAACAUUACAGAACAUUAUCGCACUUUUGAAUCUCCUAACCCUAACCCUAACCUGACAGACGAUGACCUUUCACAGCCACAAGGAAUAACCAAUCAGAGCCCAGCACUUCUAGUCAAUCAGAGGCAAAGUGCUGGGUGGGACCUUCCCUUACCAUCCUACAAAAACAAAAAUAGCGUCCAGGGGGAGUUUAUAAAAUCCUUCAAAUGUCCGGGGUUAUGUGUGGAAGUUUUGAGUUUGUGUCAUGUGGACUUACUGAGUUCGAAGCAUGUAAAAGACAUUCUGUCCGACCCGAAAAACUCUCAAAACAAACUACACAUGUUGUCUACGGGUUCAUAUGACAUUUUUCUGAUGCUACAGGAUAAAUCGUAAGAAAACUAAGUGCAAAAUUGCAUUUCUGAGUAUUUCUGAAUUCAAAUCGCUGUAAACCUCUUACAGAUCCAAACAGCAGGGUCAGAUUCAGUGAGAUUUCCCAUGUAGCAAAUCCAAGCUCCGCCCCCGAGCUCUGCUAUACAGGCCAGACUCGGAGAAAUAGAGAGGACAAUCGCGGAUGAAGCGUGUGCGUUAGCAGAUUGCAAUGCUUGUAAGAAAGCUAAUUAUGAUAUUAACUUUCAUCAUGUCGCUAAACACAUAGGCUACAAGCUAACGCGAGGAGGAGUGUGCAGAGCAGCGCUGUCUCCGCCCACGACUCAGAGGCAAAUUGCUAAUGAUCUACUGGAGCUCUGCAGAAGAAAAGUCCUCUAAAAUGACACAGUUAACGCGAUUUUGGUUAAAAACUUCAUGAUCACAAUUUAAAGACCACUGAGAAGACUUUAAGUAGUAAAAAAAAUUAUUGGAGUGGGACUUUAAUAGCUAUUGGAAAAGUUAGCAGCUAAUAAAACACUAUUUUUAACUCUACUCUUUUGUUGAAGUUACCAAUACUGUUAGCUAGAAAAAUGUAAGGUGAAUUUUAUCAUCUUAACCUUUGUGUGAUGUAAAAAGAUCGUAUUUGAUACUCACAAACUCGCACUCCGUCUCACUGUAGCUCUCACCUGAGUAACGUUUUUGUUGGCUUGUAAUUUUCCGUGUUAUGACAAGCGACCAUAAUUCUUCUGACAACAACACCUGAACUUCCCACAGAGCGUGAUGUGAGAGGAAAACGGUCCCCCUUUUCCUGGCAUGUCCUCGCCUUGUAAACAUAAUCCUCCAUCAACGAUAAGGCGGGUUCAUUAAUCCCGGCCUUCUGUGUUUCAGACCGGACUAAUAAAGAGGACGCUCACGGCUCCUUUUCACGCCAAACAAGCUCUGAUGAUGUGGAGGGUAAGGAGCUCUGAAACCUGAGGGUGCAUGGCUCUUACCUCAUUUCUGCUGCUUUUGGAUGACUCAUUUAUUAAAUCUACGAGAUCCCCUGGCUGGCUUCCUGCUUUUCCUCCAGUCAUUUUUCAUUACUCUCUAACCAAAUCAACUGUUAUCUUUUGUCUUUGUUAAUUCUUCUUCCUGAGAUAGAGGGAGAGAGAGAGGGGGGAGGCAGAGGAUGGGAGUGACUCUACUUUAGAGUUUGAUCAUUAAUUAUUAGUCUCUGGUUCCUCUGAGGAGAGAAGCUGAUGACAGCUAAUUAAGGAUGAAGUGAUGUAUAUGCUGGUGCUCCCUCUCUCUGUUUUCUCCCCCCUCUUCCUCUCUGUCUCCCUCCCUCUCUGCCCACCUGCCAAAUCAUACGCUGGAGCCAUAGACAGUAAAUAUCCAGAAUAAAUGCGAGAGAGGUCGAUGGCGUCACACGUUGUGUUCGCCACGCGCUUCAGUGAUUUUUAUGACACCGUAUUCAAACUACAUUUUUGUCUUUUAAACAUUAUAUGUAGGAUUAGAAAAGGAAAAGAUGAAGUGAGUAAGUGAAGAGAAUAUUAAUAAUAUUAAUUGGCUGUUGCGAUUGAUCGCAAUUAAAUGAUGCAAUUCGUUAAAAAAAAUUCAACGAUCAUGAUUGUAAGUAAAAUAUCUGAAUAAGAGGUUUAUCGACCCUUUGUCUAAUAUUAUCCAAGCACGAAGAACAAAGACCGUGGAUGCCAAUGUGAAUAUCUGCUGUGAAACUCCAUCUCCCAGCAUGCAUUUAGAGUUCAAAUUUUUGUGUUAUGCUGUGUUCAAGUUAGCUCGGAAGUUGGAUGUCAGAGCUGGGAAUGAUGUUACACCCAAGUUGACGGUGUUCAAGUAAACAAGUCGGAAAACCAAGAUGGACGCCGACUGUUGGCCGUUGUCAGCUGUUGUUUGUUGUUGUCAUUGCUAUACCAGUUGUAAACAACACAUCAUAUAGUAAUUUAAUCUUACAAACACGAUAGCACCGUGUUCACACUUAAACGUUGGUCACUACAACAUAUAACACUUGUUUAAUUUCACAAAAACAAAACAGAGGUGCUAAUAAAUAACACAUACGAGAUCUUUUACCAUUACACUUUACUGUUGAUGCACUGUGCUGCCAUCUUGGAAUUUGACGUUGUCGUCACGUCGGAGUUGGUGAGGAUCAUCCGACUUUUCGAGUCGGAAAUCCGUCUCAGGGGGUCGGUUAUGAAUUAAUUUCCGACUCAGAGCUCGGAAAUCCCAACUUCCGGGUACAAAUGGAAUGCACUUUUAAAGCUCCUGUUGGGAACUUUCAGUUUUGGUGCCCCCUUGUGGACAAUGCAGUCUUUGUUCAUCUCGUCUUCUUGCUUGCAGAGUUGAAUCUCAUCCUACUGAUAGUUGACAGUUGAAUGCAUCACUGGAAAAAAAAAUGGCCAAAAAAACUCCUUAUAGGAGCUUUAACUUCUGCAUUUAUUCCAAUGAAAUAUAACCAAGUGUGUUUACUGUUAAAGGUUGAUGAUAAAACUCGACAAAAUACAAUUUUUUCAUUUUAAAUCUUUAGGAAAACAAAUAUAAUGAUGAAUUUUUGAAUCUAUUCAGUGUCCUUUUUGUUUUAUUUCAUCAGUAGAUCGGCUGUCAUGUCUCUCCUGCUUCUCUUGCUCCGCUCUCAGACACUGAAGAUGAUGAUGAUGAUGAUGAUGAUGAUGUCCUUAUGACACAUCCCCGGGCAGGAGGAGGGGCAGAUCAGAGGGAGAGAGGUGUUAUUUUUGAGGUCUGUGGAUGGAAAAUUGUGACACAUUGACCACAGUUGGAUCACAAGGACUACGGCAAGACCACCUGGACAAACAGAGCGUGAUAGAAAAAAAUCUCCAAUCCACUUUGCUGACUAAGAAAAAGAAACAGGAGUAAUAUUAGAGAUAAACAAAAUGAAAACAGCGACUCAGGUCUCUGUUGUAUUUUUACUCUCCGUCGCCUUUCCCGCCAAGCGUCGGCCUCAGAUUUGCGGCGACUCCAGCUAUAUCAACACCAGUGGAGGAAAUCAUUUCUGCCUGCAGGCGAGUCAUUACAGAGGCGGAGAGUGGAGAUUGUAGUGACAAAACUCUGUCCCCGGCCUCGUGACCGGCUCGCUUCUCCACAACCAUUACUGAAUAUCUCCUCUUCUCUCUUUUUUUAACUCUCAUCUGUCUCUCUUUAUUUUCAUUUAACUCGUUUAUCUGAUCCUCCACACAUUCAGGGAAAUAAUCUGUUUCCUGUCGGGUUGUAUGAUCUGAAUCAGCUCACUAAAUUGUCGUCUGAUAGCAGGAAUGUCAUCAUUUAUUAUUCUAAUCAUGCUUCUUUAUCCUAUAGAAACAGCCUAUAGCUUUGAGACGCUUUAAUUUACAUUCUUAGACGAUGGCAGUGUGAGAUCUUCCGAUUUGAUGUGAGUGAAGCUGAAACUAGAGUAGAGCUGGUGCACUGAUAUGAGUAUUUUAAGUUUGAAAGAAGGAUAUGAGGAAAAGGGAAAAAUUAAAAACAGCAAAUCAAUGAAGCCGUGGAAGGAAUACGUUAGCUACAGUUAGCAACAGCAGCAAGCGAACAUGAGGUGAAAUCCACAGAUUUUUUUUAGAGAUGCAGAAAGUUUACCAGAGAUAAUGUUUGUUUAGUUUGUAUGCUGAGUUUGACAGCCGGGUUAAGAUUAUUCAGCCGCAUGUGGAGGUCAGAUUUAAGAUUAAAUCGCUCCCUUGCUCACCCCUCUCAUUGGCGAAGCAACGGUGGCCUUUGAGGACAAGAAGCUCCUGUGAUGUAUGACAAGUUUGACCCUCCUUUUGUCAAAUUUUUGUCCUUUAAAACUUCUAUAAACUACAAACUCUUUAUAUACUCUUUGUAUAUUAAAGGGAUUAUACGCUCAUUUAAACAUAAUGAAUUUUAUAGUAGAUUUCUGCUGCACCUUUAAAGAUGUCUUUUAUUUUCUAAUGUUUUAUGUUAUUCGUGUUUUUGAUUUAUUAUAAGUUGACGGUUUAUUUUUUAUCCAGUCGACUAACAUUUCAGAUUUGAUGGAUUGUUAAACACAUUUACCACAAAUUUAUCAGGAAAAUAGUUUAUGCGGAACAGACUAUUAGUUUAAAAUUUUACAUUUUAUGCAGAGUAAAAUAAAAAAAAAUACUUUUUAAAUUUUUUUUUAUGGAAAGUCAAAACUUUUAAUUAUUUGUGUGACCAACGUUUUUUUCAGGUUUUUAUUAGUUAUUAGAAUUAGCCUAAAAAACACACAGUAAAUGCAAAUUCUUUGUACUUCAGUCAUCAUAAACAGAAUGUGACUACAGUCCAGUUUAUGUACAAUUUUCUUUUAUUUGACAUAAUAUAGACGUAGCACCUAACUUUUAAAUAAACAUCUCUUGAACUCGUUUUGGCUCUUCCUUGUAAAAAUCGGCACAAAAAACAUAAAAAUUAAAGCUCCAAUGAGUAACUUUUGAUUUGUGUCAACCUGUGGACAAAUCAGUCUUUGUUUAAUUUUAGUUUAUUGUGAGUUUUUUAUGUGAAAAUCUAAAGUCGGCUGUUCUUUCAGCUGAUUGGCCGACACCUACCCCACCCUCUCACACCGGUUUCAGGCUUUAAAAAUUACAAUAUAAUCUUAAUUUGCUUUUGUAUAUCAUAAAAGUCAUUUUAAUACAAUUUUGUCUGUUUACAGAUUAGCUCUUCACAGGAGCUUUAAGUUUCUUAAUCACUCACAGACACAUCACUGUUCCUUUAAAUAUACUGACCACAUUUAAUCUAAAUGUUGAUCAUUUUCGGGGCUUUUAACACACUGAAACAAACUGUUAUGAAAUAGAAAUAUAACAGAAUUAAAACUUGUACAGAUUGUGUUAUUGUAGUUUAGUGCUGCGCUGAGAGAAAAAAAACACAAUUAUCCAAAUCAGUACUUCUUUCUUGUCAUCUUGUCCUUGCAGACUGUUUUUGCCCUCCCUGGCCAGAAGGUGUCAGCUCUGUGUAGGGCUGCUGUCCACAGCUACACACACACACACACACACACACACACACACACACACACACACACACACACAGCGUUGUACAAAGCGGGGCGCUACGGCCCACUGAUGUCCAGCUGCUCCUGUCAACACUCCGCUACAGCGUGUAAUUCACCCUCACACACAACGGCAGCUGAGACCUGAGAGGAGCCCCGACACCCCCGACCCAACACACACUCAAAAACACACACACACAGGCGCACACACACAAACACACACAUAUAAAGAAAAUCUGACGGGAUAGGAGGAAACACGAGGGGAAAAAAGAGAAAGUGUAAAAUUUAAGUGAGUGGACAGAGAGCUGGACGAGCAGGGGGAGAGUUGUGGGUGACAGACGCACUGAGAGCAGACACACAAAGGGGGGAGGAAAUGAGGGGGUGGGGGGGCUCAGUGUUUAAGUGGCCUAAUCAAGGGACCACCCCUUCAAAGGGAGCGCUGGUGUGUGUGAGUGUGAGUGUGUGUUUGUGUGUGUAGGGGUGGGGGGAGAGAGAGAGGGCUGGGCGGGUUGCACAUGAACAGACUGAGUCCAAGUUCCCCUGCAAUUAUCAACUUACCCAUCCUCCUCCCCCCCGCUCCUCCUCCUCCUCCACCGCCUCCUCCCCCUUCAUCCCCUGAGAGACCCAAGCUGCUGUACCCAUCAACAACUCAUUCAGGCCUUAACAAAGCAGCACCACGCCUACCUACACACACACUCUUUAACACACACACACACUUAAACACACAUACUUUACAACAGCGCAGCCCAGUCGACGCUGACUGUGGAUUAAUUCCUGUGAGAGAAUCAUUUAAAAACCGUUUUAAAACGUUUUAUCUGUCUUUGGGUGCUUCUUUUGUUUAAUUAUUGGUCGUUUAAAACUGUAAAUUUGUCACUUUUUGUUCUGCAAUUCACACAAACACACAACUAUUACUUUGUGUCACCAUACUGGAAUCACCAGGUAUUAAAUUCAGAUUAAUAUCCAAAGCAAACAGAUGUUUUCACUACGACAGUCAUAUUAUAGGAUCAUUUAGUUAAAGCUUCAGUAAGGAACUUUCAGUUUGUCAACCAACAUACAGUGUUGCUUAUAAACUGUUAAAUAUAACAAUAUGGGGAAAAAUGGCCUCUUAUUACUGCUUUUGUUGCAAGUCGUCAUUUCAGUCUGCUUUAUAGAUGGCUAAAAUCUCCACACAGGAGCUUUAAAGUCAAAAAAAGAGAAAAAUGUUAUUUUUUAUUUAAUUUUUUUAUUGUAGAAUCAGAACAUUUCUACAUUUAACAUUUCAAAAUGUAUGGGUAUGCAUACAUCUGCGAUUUUUGUACACUCUCAGUUCAACUGAGAAAAAAAAAGGGAGAAAAUGCACGGUAUCUUUCUGUCACUCUUUACAUCUUUUAACAAACCCUUUUAUUUUGAAAUGGCUGUUAAAGUAGUCCAUAGUAAAACCAUAUACAUGUGGAGAAAAGGUAAUACAGGAGAAAACAAAUCAAUAACUGAGACAGGCAGCAGCCGCGUAAUAUUUCUAAAUAAAUGUAAAAAGGAUUUUCAGAGAGAAUUAAAAAAAAAACACAUAAAUAAAAUAUAGACAUUAAUAUCUGAAUAAAAUCAGGUCUCAGUAGUGUGACAUAUUUGAUCCCAUUUUUCCAACCUAAACUUGUCCCUGUGUAGAUUUAAAGAGGUGACCUUCUCCACAGUCAAGUCAUUUAUUAUUGGUACAACCUGCAUCAACCAUUACUUUGUAAUAUCAGGAGACAUAUAAGCUAAAUAAAGAGUUUUAAAGUUAAAAAAAAAAACCUGUGUAUUCAAAAUAGUUUUUCUUUCUGUCUACUAAUUCUGUUUCUGUUGAAACUCCCAAAAUCUAUGGUAAUGUCUCCGUCUCUGAGGGUUUCUGUCUUUACAUCAGAGGUUAUAAAGUAACAGACGAUGUUUUUCCUGCAGAGCUCUUGUGCUUUUCUUCCAAAUGAGCAGAUAUCUCCCCAUUUUUUUGUUAUUGUCACAUUGAUUUCAUUUUUACUCUCUUUCCUUUAUGUGUUUGUUUGUUUUAUUAUUUAAUAUCAAUUAUUUUUGUCUUUUUCUUUUCACAGUCCCUCAUAUUGAAGAAUAGGAACAAAUAAAGUGUUUUGUAGCAUCUAAAAAUACAAAGCAGAUAUAAGAAGAAGAAGAGGAAUUUUAGACAGCACUUUUGAGUUCACACAAAUCCUAACUAUGAAUUUGGAGUUUAAAUAGAGUUAAAAUAAAAAGGAAGUCUCCUUAACCUCAGUACUUUAAAAACCCUUCUGCGCGGCUCUCUCUCUCUAUAUUGUUCUAGUGUAAAUACUUGAAUAUUAUCUCUAUAUUUUUACUUAUUUUACUUAUUUUAUCUAUUUAUCUCUAUAUUUUUACUUAUUUCUAUAAGUCAACUAUAAGUUACUAUAAUCAAACAUUUAAAUGAUUUAUUACCACCAAGAAGUUAUUAGAAAUUUGACUACUUGUAAUCAUCGUGAGUUAAACCUUAAACAAAACAAUGUUUUCAGUCAGAAAAUCAACAGUUAACGGCGAUGCUCGUGUCAAAAACUGUCUCAUUAGAAGUAAUGAAUACACAUACUUUUAUACAAACUCAGAUCUCGUGUUUAUAUCUGAGUCAGGGUUUUGGAGAGGACCAGGAUGAAUCAUGAAUCUUGUGUUGUACCUUCAAAACUCUCCUCAGUUGUGUUUCGCUAAACCUGAAUGGAAAUCACUUGAAAAAUAAACAGGGAUUAAAUCUAUCCCACGUCCUCCACCUCCUCCGUCCUCGCCUUCGCUCGUGUCCGUAAAGGGAACAUGAUGUUUUAACAGACUCUCAGCUGCAGUCAUAAAAGUUAACUGAGGCUUUUUGCACAGUAACCUCUGCUGAGUCCCGCCUGCCUUUAUUGUCAAACUCUGGUAUUAUGUGGCCCUGAAACUCAGUGUGUGUGUGCGUGUGUGUGUGUGUGUGUGCGCCUGCAUGUGUGUGUGUGUGUGUGUGUGUGAGAGAGAGAGAGGCGUACAUGGCCUGGCGUGUGCCGCUCCACACGCUGAACAUGCCCCGAGGCCAUCAUCUCACCUUCAGCUCCACUAAUACCGAGUACAGGCAGUGUGUGUGUGUGUGUGUGUGUGUGAAUUUGUUCUUUAAGCCUUCAGUAAUAAGGUUGGCCAUGGUGCAUCAGAGAUAAGGCAUUAGGCUGUUGACCUUUGACCUCCGACUCUGUUUAAUACGGAAAACUGGUCACUAACACCCAGGAGAGGCUGUGUUUAAGAGGCGCAAACUGCUUAAUGAAAUCUGUGUGUGUGUGUCUGUGUGAGUGUGUGUUUAAAGCAGCCGUACUCAAAGUGCCGUCUUGUGCUCUAAGUGAGCGUUUUAACAAUAGAGGAAAAUGUCGUCUUUUGUUGUUUUGUUGUCAGCAGCUGUUGGCCCCUCAGAUCAGAGCAGUAUUUGUUCUUUAUUUAGUUUCAUUUGAAAACCUCUCUCAAACUAAAACACUCUGGUAUUUCUCGGUAAAUCUGGUGUUAUCGUUUAUUUUUGGAGAGAAUCGUUUUAACUUGACGUGAACUAUCUGACACGACAGAACGAAGUUACUAAAAGCUAAAAAGACAGACCAGAGUUAGUCAAAUUUUGGCCUCAUUUACAAGUUUUCUUCCUAAAAACAAACUCAAGUAUCUUUGAGAACUGAAAGAGGCAAAAAUGAGUCUGUGAAGAGACUGUAUAAAACACGAACACAGUCCUGAGGGCAUCUCCCAUCACACCCAUGAGGGACCCGAGCGUGUUCAUGAGGGGAGCCAUAGUGGGAAAGCUGACUCGCCUUAACUAUGAAACAAAAAGAGAGAAAAUUCUCUUAGCCGCCCCUAAUUUGCAAACUGGGAGCUCAAAACCUUAAAAACUAAUAAAUUGUUAAAACUUCACCUUCAUCACCUGUUUAUUCCUGCUGUGAAGAUGGGCUUUAAUGAAUGGAUGAGAAUGAGGUUGCUGGCACUUCUGGAGCCUUCCCCCAGUGGACACUCCAGGAACUGCAGUUUUUAGCACUCUUGCAAGCUCUGAGUUUGAUGCUUGAGUUAUCCUCAUGCAACAAGAUAUGUGAUCAUAAAAACCGGACAAAUUUAUCAUCUAGUGUGUGGAUGUAAUCCUUUAGAAAAAUGAAAAUGUGUUUAACUUUUGACUCUCGACUGUUAAAGGUGUCACGGGCAAAACCCACAGAGUCCAGAACAGCUCCGCUCCACUCUGGCACGGUCGGCGGAUUAAAUUCACAAGCAUUAUAAUUAAUGUGUAUCAUUUCACAGAGUCUGUACGGUGUCCGGAUCAGAUAUGCAAGGCUUUUAUUUUUGCUGGACACCGGAGACGGCGCAUUAAUUCAGUGCAGCGCAGCAUGAGCAGCAGCAUAAGUUGUUUGCGCUUACAGAGUAAAAUAUCUGGUUAAUUUUCAAAAUAAAAUAAAGUCGAUAUGCUGAACUGUUCUUAUAUUGAUAAUAGGAGAGGUUGUGGGAUGUGGGUGUUUAUAUACACCGCCGUUUAUGUACAUUGAUCGGCGGAUCUUAUUCUAUGACUCCCGGGGAAAAACGUGAGAUAUAGAGUUCAUGAGAUCUUGUCCAGUCUUGCGAUAAAUAUUGUAAUUUCCCGAGCGCUUCUCCUCCGAUGGUGGCGGAUUGGAUCCGGUGGGCGCUGUAUGCUUGCGGAUUUGAUCCGUUGGACUGGAGCGGAGCCGUUCCGGAUCCCGUGGAACUCCCAGUUAAGACGUCACUGACUGGCCCUUUUUUUCUCUCUUAACUUGAAUACACCUGCUGUGAAUUGCAUGUUUAUUUAAGUAGAAGCUUUUAAAAAAGUGUAAAUCAUUUUUUACAUUGUCAAAUUCCCAGCAUGCAUUGCUUCCUCAUUUUAGCAUAAUAUAUGGUUGGACUGCUCUAAAUGAAACCCUUUUUUUUCUCGUUUUUUGGCUUUGCUUUGUUGCUUUUUCGUGACGUUUUCCUCUUAAAGAUGAGUAAAGUUUCAUCUUAUUGUAUUCUCUGUCAUAUUAUCGUGUUUAUCAGGACUUCACUGCAGCGUCGCCUCAUUUGUGUGUCUUUCAGAGGUGUGUGUUUUUUGUGUGUCAGGUAGUUAACCAGGACACUGAAGACAUUCUCCUGCCUCUCCUCCACUCCAUUAGGCUGUAAGUGGAGGCGGAAGUGUAUCAGAUGUGUGUGUGUGUGUUGCUUCUGUGUGUGUGUGUGUGUGUGUGUCCGUGGUGCGUGGGGUGUCACUCGGGCUGUAUUGGGGUCAGGUUGGGAAAUAUAGAAGCUUCCAGGCACUCAGCGAGUAAUUGAAAAUCUAUUUCGCUCAAAGUGAGGAGAGGGAACGAAAGAGAGGAGAACAAAUGAAAGAGGAAGAGAGACAGAGGAUGGGGGAGGAGGAAGAGGAAGAGGAGGAGGGGGAGACCUAAAGAUAAUAGUGAGGGGGAGGUGGAGGAAACAGGGAAUGAAGGAGAUAUUAUUUUAACAGGAGGAGCGUGAAAGGGAGGAGGAGGAGGUGAGGGAAGGACAAACCAGCGGUGGAGGAUGAGGAGGCUCCGCUGUCGUCCUAAGUGGAUAAAAACUAAAAGAGACGGCUGAGAGCGGUUCAUUUUUCUGUUCUAGUAAAGAUUUCCUCUCUUUAUUAUCAGGUCUGACUGAUCCGUCAAAGCGUGUCUCUGCACAUUUCUUCCUCUAUGAAUCUCAGCCCGUCUGAAAAACAGCUCCACACAAACAAUAAAUCACAGCGUCAUUAAACAGAAAAACACUUUUAAGAAGGCGAAGGGACACUUAUGACUCCAAGAUAAAGACACAUCUUCUGUUUGGUACAAUCAUCAUCUCUAUUUUACGGCUGAAUUUGUUAUAAAUAGCUGUGUUGGGAAUAAAAGGUAGACAUUAUUUGUGUUUCGUUUGUAAAUUUCAGAGAUAUUACUCUGAUUUCUGGAUGUGCGUGUCACAAUUAAGAUCCAUGUAUGAAAUAAAACGACCAAAACGAGCCAUAGCUUUCAAUUUAAUCAGGAGUUAAACAGCGGACCAGGUUUUCUUUGACACUUCAGGUCUGUCAGAAUCAAUAACACUUAAGUAUUUAAGUUUAAAGUUUGUAUUUAUCGAUUGGUCUUUCUUGUUUACGUGCUUGGACCACACUGAGUUCAUACCAGCUGGUAUUUACUGACUUUUGCUGCUUUAACGUGCAGUUAUCAUACGACAGGAUAUUGGGGAACAUUUAUAUACCUGAUUUUCUGUUUAUUUAUUUAUUAUUUAAUCAUUUCUACUAUCAUUUAAAGUAUGUGCCAUGUAUUUAUUUCCUGUGAAGUUACUAAUUUCUCAAUUUGUUUACUUGUCAAUUUAAGUAUGAGAUUAAUGAGUUUUUCUCAUUUUAACACAUUAUUUCAGUUUGUUGACAAUAAUCUAAUGUACAAUAACUCUGAGAUCAUCAUAUUUUGUUUAGUGCAAAAAAAGAGCGAGACUCAGUUUCGACUUAAUCGAAAUGACAAAACUCACAAAGUAAAUCCAGAAUCCUUAAUGUCAGUUUAACGUGAAUAUCCUUCAUUUUCUAGCGGACUUCUAAACAAGCGGAGCUGGGCUGAUAGCCGGUCAACAGAGUGUCCCACCUCUCUCCACCAGUGUUGUGGGUAACGCAUGACAAAGUAACGGAUUCCAGGAACGAUAUUACUUUUUUGAGGUGACGAAGUAAAGUAACGCACUAAGCAAAAAAAUUGGUAACUUAAUUACGUGCCUUUCUACGUUACAUCAGCUGUGUUUCCCAGUGUUUCAAAAUCUCUUCAAGGACAGGUUUUAACUCAAAACUCAGUGAAUGUGCUGAAAAUAACACAUUUAAGAGGAGAUCUUUGCAGGAGAAGCUGAGAGUUAAAGAGCUUAGACGCAAUCAUCAAAACUUAACAGGGAGGAGUUACACUUGAUCAGAUUUGAGGACCUGGAUAUUUAGAAGGCUUGGUUAAUGGCAUGUAGUGAUGCUAAUGCUUUAUUUAGCAUGGAUUCAAACGGGUCGACAGAUUUGAAGUAGUAAUUAGGAGAAGCUGCAAAAUAUAAGGGUCCAAAAAAGAAAAUUCUUUGUCCACUGGUGCACUUUCACACUUCGUAAAGUUUUAUUCUUAGAUAAACUGAAUCUGCAGCUGCUGUGAAUAACUCCAGACCGGAGAGGAACAAUUAAUAAAACUGAUAAUGACGUGAUUUUGUUUUUAAUCAUUAGUAACAUUUCAUUUUCUCACUAAUGAAAUUAAAUCUGAAACAAAACAAACAAACAAAAAUAGCAUCAAUUUUGAACAUUUGUCUAUUUGACUUCUAAUUACACGUUUCUGAGACGUUGCUCCGCCAAAAUCAAUCAUCCAAACACUUUAAUUAGAAAUAAAGACUCAAAAGUUAGUCUCCAAAAAUAGCCGUAUCAUAUACUCUGGAGCUGUGGCGAAUAAUUUAAUAUCAGACCUCAUUAGUUAGAGAGCAGGAACAGAAAAAUAACAAGCCAACCAUAACACACAGAGAAACACUGACACUACAAUGAAGCACUUCACUUCAUUAAACCCACAAACACUGAAUCUGUGAAAGUAAAAGGACAGGAUCCAGAGAGGCACAACAACAAAUUUAGGAAUCGAGGAGGAGAGACGAUUUCUUUGUUCGCUUCUCCGAGGAGCCAAGCAUUAAACAACAAAAGAAGACUUCCUGUUUGUCAAAUAACCACUCUGAUAUUCUGAAUAAGUCUUAACGUGUACGUAUAAGGAUGAGAUCCAGGUUUGAGUUUAAGAAAGACUUAGAAAAUGGAGCAAAUUUAUUUUAUUUUGUUUCCAAAUGUAAAUAUUAACAUUUUUCCAAAAGUUUUUGAUCAUUUUAGCUGCUAACCAGUGAUUAUUCUUUGAAUCAAAACUACGAUGAUAAAUGUUUGUUACUUUUUGAAAAUACACUACUAAAAACCAAACUCAGACAGUUUAAGGUUUUAUUUUUGUUAACGGGUUGAUGACGAGACCAAACUGUUUUGGGUGAAACAUUAAAAAUCCUUUAUUUUCCCUAAUUGCAGAUCUCACCUGUCACAUAAACCAGGAGCAGCGAUUCCCUGUGAAAGGCUUUUACCUGAGGGGUGUCGUAUUAAUGUCGUUGCACUGCUGAUACGAAUCGUCUUCCUCCUGAUUUCUGCAAACUUUUACAUCUGCGUUUUUGAGAGCCUCUGCUCUGUGUAGCUGUAGGAGAUCAGCAGAGUCAGCACAACAACAGAGCAUUGGCAGGUGAGUCUAAACCAUUGACUGUAUAUAGACUGGAUGCUGUCUGCCGUCUCGCUGAGUGAAGCCACCGUGAGAACAGCACCCUCUAAUGACAGUUUAGAUCAUAAAUCCCGCCUCCUCCAGCAAUCUCUAUGGAGCUGUGGACAAACUUUAGAAAUUAAUUACACAGAAUAUAAAUGUUUCUCCCCCCUGCUUGUGAUGUUGACAUGAAGUUACAAUAAGACUGGUUUGUGCUCAAGUCCUCUUUUUCUGUACAGCUCCAUUUUUAAAAGUUAUCAGGGGGUUCAUGUUUUCUAUGAUUGACACUUGAUACAGCCUAUGGGCGUACGAAGAUUGCGUAGCUCUCCCGGGGGAUAUGCUGUUUGAGCCAAGUGUCAUCACAGCGACUCUUUGUGACUCUCCUGUGUACAAUGAUACUGCGCAAGUGGUGAUUCCAGGAAGUGGAGAGAUCCCGGAAAUAUCGAGAGCAAUUCGGCUUAAAAUUCAAAUAAUGAUGGAGGGUGGAGCCAAGUUGUCCAUAGUAUAUACAGUCUAUGAUCUACUCUGAACUUAAGAUUAAACUAUUCAGGACAAAAAUGACUUAAAUGUGAAUAAAACUUAAAGAAAGUAAAACUAAAUACUGCUAAAUACUUGUUAUUUUUGCCACAAUGUCGACAGGCAGCGGACUAGUUUGAUAUCGCUUGUUUGUUAAAUGAAGUAUGUUUAUUAAUCUAAGACUAAGUAUUUUGGAUAAGAGUCAUUAUCUAAACUAUUUAAAUAAUCAGGAGUUUAAUUCAUUUUCAGGUGUUUUAAAAUCUAAACUGUGACCCAAACUUUGUGUUACAAAAGACAAAAACAAGUCCCUGAAUGCAUCACUCUACAUGUGUCUGCAGAUCUGUGUGAGUGUUAGAUAGUGAUGUAGAGGAAGAGUUUUUAGUGUGUGUGUGUGUGUGUGUGUGUGUGUGUGUGUGUGUGUGCCUGAGGCCUCUUCAUCUCAUCAGCAGGAAUCUAUUCUGCUCAGACUCAUCCAAUAAGGUGGGUAAUGAUACUCCACUCUAAUAUUGGGACCGUCCAAAUUGAACACAUUUAAACUUUAAUGCAAGUCAAGUCCUGGGGAGAAUGUAAUCUGCCCCACUUUAUGUGUGUGUGUGUGUGUGUGUGUGUGUGUGUGUGUGUGUGUGUGUGUGUGUGUGUGUGUGUGUGUGUGCGUGUGUUAACCCGAGUGCAUCUGCUCCUGUGUAAUCUGGAGCACUUUGAGUUUUUUCUCUCUCUGUUGCUUCUCUAAUGAAUUUAAAUAUGCUGAAUGAGUUUUAAGAAGAAGGUGAGAGGUGAGUGGAGAACGUGUGUGAAGAGCCGCGUGGAGGAUGUUGAAGCUGCUGAAGCAACAGAGUCUCUGUGUUUAGAGGCUCCAGCUGAGAGGAGCGCCGGAUGAGAAAAACACAUUGCACAUCUUUAAACCUCAUCCCCUCCUCCUCCUGACAGGAAAGUUCACGCUCUCUCUCGACUCCUCCUGAAGACAGAGAAGUUUCUGCGGUCGUCUCAAAAUUAUCACUCAUUAUUGAUAUUGUUAAAUUUUCAUGUAAGGCACACGUUUGCAGGAUUAGAGUGAUUCAAAGCACUUCACACAGUUUAAACAAGAACAUUAACACUAAAAUACCAAACACAUAAGAGCUUUUUUAAUUUAAUUUAAUCAUACUUAAGCUGCAGCCACUUUACACUAAAAUUACAACCUGUUAACUGUGAUUUACUAACGUUUACUGAACUCACAUAAUUAACUUUCAAUAUUCCAGACUCCUUUAAGGGUAAAACACUAACGUACGAUACCACUAAAUAAUUCACUUAAUGUAACUUUUAAGCUGAGUGCGAGCAAAUGGUAGUAUACUGUAAGCUAAACAAAGAUAGUGAUGGUUUUUAAAGUUAUUAUUUAAUUUAAAAAACUUUUUUUAAGUGUCAUUAUCUGGACAAUACUUUUACGCUUCUUAAAUUUUUUGCUAUGGUGGACGCUUUAGUACACUUUCGCAAUAAACCUCAGGCGUUAUUUUUACCACAGGCAAGGCGUGUUUAAUUAUGUGGCGCAUUUAGGCAACAAGGAUUUAACACAAGGUAAUGCAUAAAACAAGCCAUUAAAGCAAAGCAAAUAAAAAAGAGGAAUAAAACAUAGAUCCUCUGUGGUGUGAAUUUUAUGAGAAAUAGAAAAACAGUCUCACAAAAAUGCAAAAAACUGCAGUUCCAUGAGUGUCCACAGGAGGCUGUCUGCCAAAAUCAAAGAUGCUUCAUUGAGCUCCGUAUUAAUCAUUCAUUCAUGUAGACUGUGCUAGGGUGAGUUUUUUAAUCUAUUAUGGUCAUUAAAAGACUAAGAUUUGAGAGGUUAGGGGGGCCAGUUAGGUGUGUUGUGGUUCCACACCUUUACCUGAAAGUUAGGUUCUAACCUGAAGUAGCACUAACUUAGCUAACUGAGCUUAACAAGAGAAGACGGGGAAACAGCUAGCAUGGCAAAUUUACACUCUUACUUUGCAGUACAGCUCUGAACAUCCCAUUUCUUGUUCAUAUCGCUUUAAUCUAUCAUUUUAAAUCUGCUCACGUUAGUAUGCUAAUGCUAACAUUUAGCCGAGGUCAACUGUGUGCAAAUUUUUUUUUUGUAGGAUGUAGGAAGGUCCAGCCCUCCUUCGCCUCUGAUUGGCUAGAAGUACUAGGCUCUGAUUGGUUACUAGAAAAAAAAAGUAUCGCCAACUGUGCCACCACAGCUUAGCAGAUGGGUUAGCAGUGCUGUAGCUCUGCUUCCUGCCUGUUGCCAUGACAACAGCUUUAGGAGUACAGAUGUAUGGUCAGAGAGUCAGAGUCCAUAAUUAAAUUUGAAGGUAUCUGUGUGUGUUUGUGUUUGUUUGUGUUUUCAGUUUAAGCGAUAUGAUUAAUUAAUUAGACGUGUCGCCGUCUCCGUGCGAGCGACCCAGACCUUCAUCCGCAAAGACAAACGUGUGUGUCUGUGAGUGUUUUUACCACUAAUCCAUGAAGGAUCCUCUUCCUCCUCCAUUUCCUCUUCCUCCCAGGAUGUCAGGGUCACAUCAAAGGUAGAGCAGCGACCUUCGACCCCGUGACCCCGGUUUAGCAGCUUUAUGAGCGAGCAGGGCGAGAAUCCAUUAGCUACGGCAACAUCAUCAACAACGGUGACGAGGAGGAUGCUGGACGAGGUUUAAAGGAGAAAAAACUGAGAGGACCAGAGCUUUAUAAGCUUUACUUUUUUUUUUUUUUUUAACAGAUUAUGACUAAAACUACAAAAAUUCAUAAUCACCGUUUACGUCUUUUGUUGUCACUGUGUCUAUAUGUCCCUAUACUGAGCAAACAUGAGCUUUACCUGGGCCCACAGUAUUUGUAAUAGGGGGCUCUCUCAGUGCUCUUGAUAAUACUUGUACUUGUUGUGUGUGGUGAUUUUGGGGUCUCUACUGUGUAACAGCGGAGCUAUUGAUUUUUGUUUGCAGCGUCUUGCUCUUGUAUCGUGAUUUGCCGACGACCCCUGCGCACUCCGCCAGCUGCGCAUAGAGAUCAGUAUUAUUCAUCCAGCUAGAAGAACGGCUUGUUUUUGUAAAACAAAUCGUUUUUUAUUCUUGUAGCUAGUAGUCUGUGCUAUUAUGACAUGAAAGAGGCAUCAUUUGUGUUUAGAAAACAUUUCAUCUUAGAGUUAUUGAUCCCAGAACGUCCAAAUCUGUGAAUAUCUUUCCAACUUUACUGAACUUUUCCCAUUACUGCCAUUUAUAAGUUUCCAAUUUCAUUUUUCUGCGCCAGCUAUCGUGAGGCUUUCCAUCUUUUCCAACCUCUUCCGCCCAAGUCCAGCUUCCAAUAUCGCUGUUUCUUCUCCUGGAUUGUACCUGGCAUCCAUUGUUUGAAAUUUGUCGUUCGCUGAUGCGACUUUUUCUUUUUCUGCUUCUUCUUCUUUCGCAGGAUGUACACUAUGCUAAUGCUGUCCUCUACUGGUCAUAUUCAGAUCUAACUAACUAGGUUUUUUAUUUUUUUUAUUUAUUUUUUUACAUGAUUUUGAAAAAAAAAUAAAUCCAGAGCCAGAUUUCCAGCACCGUGCCGGAGGUCUUCAAGCCCUGAAUAUGUGAACACAAAGACCUAAAGGUGGCAAACUGAGCUGCAGGAUUAUCGUCUGAUUACAGAUCAGAGCAAAAGUAUGAAAAAGUACAUUAUAUGUUUUAAAGUAUAAAGUACUUAAAUACACGACUUGAGUAACUUUACUUUGUCACUGCCCAUAAAUGCUGACAGGUAAUUAAAAAAGAUGUUAGUGUUUCAAUCCAGACUUAUCAGGUGAAUCAGGCCACAUUAGUGUUGUGUUAUAUUGGAGUAGAAUAGAAAUUAGACAAAGUGCACUGAUUAAGUUUUUUUCUGCUCGUGUGAUUGUACUUAAUUCAACGCUGACAGUGUUUUGUUCCAUCAGUGAAAAUCAUUACACACUCUUCUCUUUUGUCAUUAUUUGUGUUUCAAUGACACAAUUAUGGUACCUGAAAACCCGACGAGAUUAGAGUCCUUGUUUUCAUAACUAAUGAAAAAUGAUAGGGCAAACCGAAAGGUGCUUUACGCGCCGAGUGCCCGUGCGUGCGUCUGCGUGCGAGUGCAUUUGUGCGUGUAAAUGGGGCUAACCUGCAUUUAAAUCAGCCCUCGGCAUUGCUCCCUGUUUUUGUCUUGUUCACAAUGAGUAACUUAUCUAAACCAUCGCCUCUUCAGUGCUCAACUUCAGCUGCCUAUUUAUCCAUUUUGGGUUGCGUGCAGCCCGUCGUUAGUAUUCCGGUACACACCUCAACAAAGCCAUUAUCAUAAAAACACACACAUUCACAUGCAGAUGGAUUGCUCUUAGCCUCUUAGCUCUGCAGCUAAUGGUGCUAGCCACUUAAUUAAGGUCACUUAUGGACAAACUCUGUUAGCACGAGCACUAAUAAGUACUGCCCAGACAAUGGGAGCGUGUGUGUGUGAGUGUGAGUGUGUGUAUGGUAAUGAUAUUGCUGUAAAGCCUGACCUGCAGUCUCCAUUACCUCCAGCUUAUUGAGUGGUUUGUUUUGCAGAGUGGCUCUCAGAGGUGGGUAUCAUUGAAAUUUCACUAGAUGGACAACUGGACACUUUAGAGGAUGCAUCACAAUACAUUUCAGGCUGAAGUGUGUGUGUGUGUGUGUGUGUCGGUGUCAGUGUGUGUGUGUGUGGCCCAGUGAAGGGGGCACCCACAGAUAAAAAAAAAAAAGGAGAUAAAGUGUCUGCAGUUUUCACACCAAAACCCAUGUGGAAACUGAAUAUCCGGCACAUCCUUAAUUUAUAGCCCUCUGCUUUCCUCCUCAUCUCCCACAGUCCUUUGCUCCCGUCCUCCCUUCCGGAGCCGCUCCUCAAGUUGCCUCAUCUAAAAACAAUUAGUUCCCCCGAGCAGCUCGGCCAACCAGCCAGGUUACAGAGUGUGUCUGCCCUGUGUUUGUGCGCAGAAAUACAUGUGUAUGUGAUUGUAGUGUUGUCCCGCCGGGGAGCGUAACAUCGCCCUUUAACAUCACCACACAGGACGCUUCCGAAGACCGGGUGACCUUCGACCUUCAGCAUGAGGAUGAGAGACAAGAGGAAGCAGAGGAGUUAGGGGGAAGCAAUUGGGAGACGCCUCUGCCCAUUUAAGUGACGGAUUUAGGAAAACACUUUUGGGUUCGGUUAGUACUGUAGUGAGUUCAGUGUUAUUAAGAAAUACUUCAAAUCUGCCAUAAUUUAUCAUUUCAUUACAUUAAUACCCCAAGAUAUCCUAUGAACCUUACAUAGCUCAGGACAUACUUACACAACCCAGCUUUUGGUGCCUUGUGUUGUGAGUUAACAUACUUUGCCCCACAAAACUUAACGUAACACUGUCCUUUUCUAUGCUAUUUUCAGUCUUGGUUUAAAGUUAACGUUAGGACAAGCUCGAACAGGUUAUGACCUGGUGUGUCGAAGACGAAUGUGACAUGAUAAUUUUAAUGUACUGUAAGCUCUUCACGAAAUGUAACCUAGCGUUAAAAGUUGGUGAAGUUGAAACUCAUGUCUAAAAAUGGCAAAAUGUUCAGAACUGUGACCAAAACGUACCUUAAGAUUACAUUUUAUAGAGUGAUGUGAACUAAUGUGACACAAUACUGUAAUGUACGUUAAAGUAAAGUAAUCUAACAUACCUAUGUACGUAAUGUAACACAGUAGGACUCGAAGGUCCAUGUAUUCUAUACAUACAUACUUAAUACACGGACCCUUGAGGUAACCUGUCUUCAAAUAUUGUUACAUAACUUGAUGAAAUGUAACAGAACAAAGUGUAACAGAACAAAAUGCUACAUAGUAACAUAUAGUAACUUUACAUAACAUGACUCACAUAACUUAAUGUAACGUAAUGAAAUGCAAUGUACUUUAAAAAACUUAUUGUAACGUAAUUGUAAAUAACGUGACUGAAUGUAAAAAAGUCUAAGAAAAUGUAACAUAAUGUAACGGGACUUAACCUCAAGUUAUAUUGCUAAAUGUAACUUUAAGUAUAAGGUAAUGUUGUGCUUCUGCACAGUGUUACAAGAAAAAAACUAAAGUUACAAUUUUUUAAUUUCAGGUAACUUUACAAAAUGUAAGAGUCAGGAUUUUUUUGUCAUCAAUUUCUGCCAGAUGUGAGAAAAUACACAGGAACCAAGGGGGAUGUUAUUCUUUUGCUAAAGGUGCAAAAACACAGAGAAUAUAUUAAAUAAACAAUAAAUAAAAAACAAUAGAGAGAGGUUUAUACAUACCCCUACAUGACAAAAUGCAACAAAAAAUAUAGUGUAACGUAACAUUAGAAUUUGUAAUUAAAUCUCUCUUAACAGAAUGUAACACAUUUUUUUUUGUAUUUAAAUAUUGUGCAAAACAAAAUGUAAUAAAACAAACACUUAAAAUCACAUAACAUACUUUAAUGUAACUUGAGAUCACACAAUGUUGUGUAAUCUAAAGCUGCAGCAGUCCUGUCUUAUCUUACUGUAUUACCAUCUACUAUUAUUUAAUUUAUAUAUAUACAUAAACAUACAUAUACAUACAUUUAUAUAAAUUUGAAUAAUAGUAUAUGUCAGUAUAUAUAUAUAUAUAUAUAUAUAUAUAUAGAUAUAUAGAUAUAUAUAUAUAUACAUAUAUGUAUAUAUAUAUAUAUGUGUAUUUUUUAUUUUUUUUACUCAGGCCUGUGUUUUAAGCUAAUGUUCCUUCUGUGAUGAUAAAAUAUGUUGUCACGGUCUCACAGUCUUAUCCAGAUUACAACUGUCAUCAUUUAUUUUAUUAUAGUCAUCAUAUGUUUUCUGCACAGCUGCAUAUAUUUGUAUUGUUUUCUAUCGUAUGGCAGUGUUCUUUGAGGUCAUCCAUGUUUUAUUUACAUAUCCAGCAGCUGUUUAUUUGGAGAUAUUGAUUUAUUGCUCCCAGGGUGAAAGAAUUGAUUAUGUUCUGGCAGGGACACUAAAGAACAGCUGUUUCUUUCUUUCUCCUUUCACUUCCACUACUAACCAAUCUGUCAUUUCACAUCUCUUCCUCUCUCUGUUCUGUCUUUUUCUCUCUUUGUGUUCACAGAUGUUGUGAGUGAAACGAUGUUCCUGAUUGUCGAUUAAUUUAAAUGUGAUAAACACGUCCUGUUUGGAUUGUUGUUAUUGACUUUUUCGCUCAUCUUUCACAGCAGACCAGCCUCUUUGCUUUGUCUCUCAUAGUCAUCUGUGUGCUGACAGGAUUGUAUGUGGUCUUAAGAUCAGGAACCCCAAAGGUCAGAGGUCAGAUAAAUAGUUUUCAGGAGGGCCUCAUCCCGAGAGAGAGAGAGAGAGAGAGAGAGAGAGAGAGAGAGAGAGAGAGAGAGAGAGAGAGAGAGAGAAUGGAUAGAGGAAGCACGCCAGAGAUUAGAAGAUGAGUUGACAGUGAAUUGAAGUAAAUUGGUUAUUCUGAUGUUAAAAGUUCAGGCGAAUGUACAAACUGGGUAAAAAAGUGGACCAAACCAGAACAUUUGGAGCUCUCACUUCGGAUUGGCUGUUAUAUCUCAUAGACCCCGCCUCCUCCAUGUGGAGGAAAUGGUCUUAAAGGUGGAGUAGUCAGGAUCUGAGGAAGUGUCAGUUUUUGGGAGAAAUCUUGAAUCUAAACUUUACCCCUCCCAACCAGUUUUCCCCUCAGCUCCUCCUCUCCCCUCCCUCUCUGCUCUAGCAAGCCCCGCCCACAAACAGACGCUCCUGCUCGCUUGUAUCGUUCCAAUAAAAUUCAGAUAUAAUGCAGAUAAAUACUUCAGAUAAUUACAAAUGGGGCCCAGUCAAUGUGAAAGUAAACAGCAUUGGUGCUACUGUAGAUGCCAACAAACUACCAGCAAACACAAUGUUUGCAGGACUUCAACAACUAGGAUAAAGUGACAUAGUCCAGGACCCAAGGUCAACAGUAUAGUGGUGGCGCUACAACACGCUACAGCAGGUCCGUUUGACAAGAAACACUUCUAUUACUUUGUUAGAGCGGUUUACCUGUCCAGCAGAAAGGUUACAGGGUCACCAAGAUCCCGAAGCGUCCCCCAUCACUGUUGACCCGGCAUUUUAGCUCUUGUCCAGUCUACCUCCAUUUUAAGCGCCCGUUAUUCCGCCAGAGUCUCCGCUAUUUACUUUGUUUUCUUGCUUGUGUCGGCAGUCGUGGCCAAAGGAGGAUUCAGACAAUUUUCCGAACUUUCUGGUUGGUUUCUACUGUCCGAUAUUGUAGCACGCUAACUUUGGUUGGGCUCAUGAGUGACACGGGGGGGGCAGCGUCUGCCUCACAACCAAUCAGGAUGGGGGAGGCUGGGAACGGCUUUGUUUACAGUCAGAAAUUUUAAAAUGUUGACUUCACAGACAUAUCAAAACACAAUGAUAUCGUGAUAUUACCAAAUGUCAUCAAUAACUAAUAACUAUUGACUGAUAUUAAAAGUUUUUUUGUUUAUACACCACAAAAAAAGAUGCUUCUUUAACAGAUUCCUGCCUACCCCACCUUUAACUUUUACUUAGUUAUUUAAUGAUGUGAAAGGGGUGUGAUUGACAGCUCAGUCGACGAAUGAAAGACGAGGUCAGGUCAAAAUUGGAUGUAAACGUUUUUGCGGGCUUUAAACUAAGGGGGGGAGUGUUUGGAAAUGUAUCAUCACAUCAUCAAUACAGCAGAACAAAGAUGCGCAAUUACAGCAUUUAAUUCAACUAAUACAAUCCGUAAUAGAUAUUAUCACCUGUGACCGUUUAAACUCACCUGAUCGCCCACAUAGUAAAAGAGAUUGAUCAAUUUAAGGAUAUUCAUUAAAUAUUAACCGAAUUAACAGACAGAUUAGAGCUCACCUGAUCAAACAUGUUUCUAAUGACGUAAAGGUAACAUUAAACAUUUUCUAUCUAGACGACUGGAAUCAUGUGUGUCAGUGUUAAAGUUAUUUUUUAUUAGAAAGAGUUUUAAAAUAAAAUCCACUCUACUUUGUGCAUGUCUUAAAUCUGUCUGUAUGAGAUCAUUUAAACCUGAUCACAUCCUGAACAACAUGUUUAUUUUAUAUCAAUCGACAAGUGUUAGGUCUGAUUCAUGAUCUGGGCGUCUGAUGGAGAUUAUGCAUUAAUAAAGAUCUGCUGUAGAUGAAAUAGGUGGUCUACCAUCAAACAAAUACACACAUUUAAAUACACACACAUAUUGAGGCAACAAUCCCUUUUUUAAGAGCCAUAUGAAAUAGAAACAUCAACACAAAUGAACAGAGGGAGGGAGAGAGAGAGAGGGGAAGGGAGGGGGAGAAGAGAGAGAUAUGUGGAGGGAUAAAAGAUGGAUUAAGGUUGUGUUUCAGAUUGGCAGGAGUGUGUUGCAUGUGUGUAUUUAAUAUGAGAGUGUGUUCAGUGUGAACAUUAAGCUGGGAGAUGUGCGACUUUGUUUGUUACAGUGUGCUUUCCUGCAGCCUGCCAUUCCCCACGUCUCCGAGGGAAAAAGCCUUCUUACCCAUAAUACUUAUCUCUGCCACUGUGUGUGUGUGUAUGUGUGUGUGCAUGCGUGAGCGCGCGCGUGUGUGUGUGUGUGUGUGUGUGUGUGUGCGUGCGUGCGUGUGGAAAACCCCUUUACAUGUGAUAAUGACAGCUGUAAUGCCUGUCUGAUAUCUGCUCAGCUCUGGGACUUCAUGUUUGUAUCUGUGUGUGUGUGUGUGUGUGUGUGUUUGUGUGUGUGUGUGUGUGUGUGUGUGUGUGUGUUUACCUAAAACAUACACUCUGGAUAGACAGAUUUUAAACGUUUUUUGUGUGAGCACAUGAACGUAUCACAGAAUGGAUAAUCUGUAAAGUGUGUGUGUGUGUGUGUGUGUGUGUGACAGGUGUCAUGGAGGAGAUCUCCAGUUAUCACCCUCUAAUACCAUCUCUGCUCUUCACACACAAACACACACUUCAGUGAGGACAUUUGAAGUUUUUAAUUUGACGAACAGAUGAUGAGUUUGAUAAAAAAAAAUUCAUUCCUUAAUAUUAAAUUCAUGACUUAAAUAAUAAGGUGGAGCAUUAUUAAUCUUUCCUGUACGACAGCAUAUUAAGACCACUAUAAAGAGAAUAUGUGAAUUAAAGCUCCUGUGAGUUUUUCGAAAUUUUUAAAAUAGACUAAAAUUCAUAUUUAUCCUUUUUUAACGGUAUCUAAAUGUAAACAAAACCAUCAGUAACAUGAUAUCUAUAUUAGGAUUUUUUAAAUGGGGGUAGGUGUCGGCAGAGCAGCUUAAUAAACAGCCCUGAUUUUGUGAUUUCCAUAUAAAAUAUUUACAAAGUCAGCAGGAUGCAGUUUUGGUCAAAAUAACCGCUUUGUUCACACGAGGGCACAUUUCGGCUGCUUGUAACCGCAAUCUUGUUCUUUCGGUCAUUACCCAAAGUUCAUGGCCAUAGGUGAGGUUCGUCACGUAGAUCGACCGGUAAAUCGAGAGUCUCACCUUACGGCUCAGCUCUUUCUUCACCACAACUGAUCGGUUCAGCGUCCGCAUCACUGCUGACGCCGCUCCGAUCCGCCUGUCGAUCUCCCGUUCCAUCCUGCCCUCAAUCGUGAACAAGAUCCCGAGAUACUUGAACUCCUCCACUUGAGGCAGGACCAACCCUUCAACCUGGAGAAAGCAAUCUACCUUUUUCCAGCUGAGGACCAUGGCCUCGGACUUGGAGGUGCUGAUUUGCAUCACAUUACAAAGGCAUUAAUAUGAAUUUUUGGUACUUUCAUGAGUGAUGAAAAACUCCACACAGGAGCUUUAAAAUCAUCAUAUUAUGAGAGCAAACUGAUAGUUUUGAUUUACGAUGAGUGUGGAGCGUCUCUUUAAAUUGUCUCUAAUCUUCUGGCCCUUCAGCUCCAUGUUGUUACGAGUAUCAGGACUCUGAAAAGUCUGACCAAAAAGCUGAGAAAUGUGGUCCCCCCUUAAAAACAACAUCCAACUUCUCUUUGGUUCCUAAAAUCCGAGUCCGUUCACUCCAGGUGGGGUCUAGGUGAAGGUUGAUGCAGCAGCUGUUACACCUGUGUGGCAGCAGGUUGUGGACAGGUCCCUCAGUCAGUCACAGCUGCAGAUAAUCCCAUCUGUCCUGCAGGGCCGUGACGAUGACUGACAGGAGGAGGAUAGCGUCAGUCAUCCCGCACUGUCUCCGUCUGAUGAUGUCAGCGGACUGCCUAGCACCUCGCUGAUGCAGACGAUAUGAGACAAUGGGGGGGUGAAAAGUGUUGCUGCUGCUUCAUGGGGAAAAAAAAAAGAGGGAAAAUUAUUUAAGUCAAGAUUUAAGUGUCAUACGUCCCGCCCCCCUGGCUGCAUGAGUCUAUCUAUCUAUCUAUCUAUCUAUCUAUCUAUCUAUCUAUCUAUCUAUCUAUCUAUCUAUCUAUCUAUCUAUCUAUCUAUCUAUCUAUCUAUCUAUCUAUCUAUCUAUCUAUCUAUCUAUCUAUCUAUCUAUCUAUCUAUCUGAUUCAGAACCAUCAAAGUACAGUACUUUGCUCAAAAAACACAUAAGUCUACAGUUCUCUCAAGUCUUGGCUAUCAGGAGAAAAAAUAUUGGGAUUCUAACAAACACACAGCAAAAACUAUUUACAUAUUCACACUAAUUCUUCCAGGCGUUUUUUGUUAUUUAAAGUUGUUUUUACCACUUAUUGAAGCAGUUCUUGUCUGGGAUGAGACAGAGGGUCACAAGCAGGGAACUUUCUUGUCUCUUGUUGAUCUUUGGUUGCCUCUUAUUGGACACUACUGUCAGGGGAACAAUAGAAGAAGAAUAUGAGAAUUGGUCAUAUUGAUCGAAAGUUUGACAGAAAAAGAUGUCAUCAAAACAGCUCGUCAAACCCGGAAGACAUGAACUGCAUUUAGCGAUAGCGAUCUUUUUUUAUCACAACAAUAUGAUAAAUAAUCGUGUUUUCACCGGUAUAUCACUGCGGAUUUACCAUCAAACGUCUCCGAUCAAAGACCUAUUUUUGCGGCUGGAUUGUAAACUUUGUGGCAGGUGUCGAAAUACCAGGAAACCCUCGAUAGAUCGCUAAACGGGUAAACUUUUAAACACUUUUCAUCCCGUAGAGAUACACAGUAUAGUUCCUGAGAAACUGUAAACAAUAUUGGUGUCACGUGGGAUCGCCUGCGUGUUAAAUGUAAUGAAAAAAUGAUCACUUGCGUAAAUGCAGCUUCUAAUCAGGUCACAAAAACAAUCUGACUUCUAAUUGGGCCUUUACAGGUCAGAUGAUCACAUAAACAACCUCUGAUUGGUUGACAGUUCAAAACAAUACAGCAGCCUCUCUCUAGCCUAAAAUUCAUUCAUAAAUCAUCACAGAGAACCUUUGUUUUUUAAGGACGAGGGUUAGGGUUAGUUUACAGUUCACUGCCGGUCUCACAGGUCGAGUGGAUUUUACAGUAAUUUGCUGCAUCGUACCAUUUUAUUUUAGGGUUGAUAUUGUGAACACAACAAUAUUCAACUGUAGAGUUAUAUAUACACAUAUAUAUGUAUUACUUAAGAGUUUUUCUGGUGUAUUUAAAGGAGGAAACUCGUCUUAUAUUGGUAUAUAAACAUUAAAGCACAUUUUGGGUCACGAUGAAUCAUUUUUAAAGGUCAUGCAAAUGCUCUUUUUUCUUAAUAUUUUCCAUUAACUCUUACAUGACUGUGUUUGUCCUACAUCAACAGUUUAAAUAUGCAUAUUUAACUUUAAUCCAUCAACAUAUUAUUGUAUUUCGACGUCUUUUUGUCAUUUAAUGUAAGCAGAUUGUCGUGAUGUUUGACGACUUUAACUAACGAUGAGACUCACUGAUGAUUGUUGCUGAAUGAAGCUUUUUUAAACCGUCCGGUGGAAUUUUCUGGUGUGUGUUCGUUCCCGCUCAUGAGCUCGCCCUGUUUGUACAGUUCUGUGUGUUUUCACUGAGAGUGUGAGUGUGUGUGGCGUGUGGCCCGUGUGUGUGUUCUGGUUGGGCGACCGUCACAGGCUCAUGAACUGGCUGUGAUCCAUGCUGGUGUGUACAGUAUGUUUACACAUGCUACAUACAGUGUGCAUCUGUGUGUGUGUGUGUGUGUGUGUGUGUGUGUGUUUGUGUAAAUGUGUGUGUGCGCGUUCGCUGUGACCCAUAAUGUUUCUUUUUCCUCCAGUAAAACAGGAGAGCUGAAGCGAGGCCCAGCUCCUCUGACGGGGUGGCCGAGGGUCCCGCUGGGCCUGUGGCUCCUGUUCCAGAUCUGUGGAGGUGCAGCAUCCAUGGUGUUUGUGUAGGUUUGUGUAUGUGUGUGUGUGUGUGUUUGUGUAGAUCUCACUGAUUAGCCUGACCAGCAGCUUAUUGAUGCACUGGUUAAUGAUGUUUCCAAUGACAUGGACAGAUGAGGAAGAGGAGGAGGAGACAGUUCAUGAGGGUAAAAUCUCUCAGAGAAGAGGAGAAACAGACGCACACACAGGUUUUAUUAAAGAAAGUGAAAAUCUUCGUUUUUCUGUGUGAAAACCAUCGAAGGUGAGACGGUGAAUUUUAUUAAAAGUGCAUUUUAAACCUGCAUCACUACAGUAAAAAUCUCUUUUUUAUGGUCAAAACAGAAUUAAUGAAUGGUUUCACACAUUUUAAAGUGUAUUAAUGUUAAAAAGCAGAUCUUGUCCUUUUUAGAAGAAAUAAAACUCACACAACUGCGUUAAAAAAUUAUACUUUCCUUACAAAAGAUCUUUGCUUUUCCACUGUUGAUAAUGAGGGCAUGUAAGUGAAACUGAGUAACAUUUUUACUGUAAAUUAUUACCAGAAUUUGUUUCAAUAUUUCACAAUAAAUGACCGUGUCAUCUCUGUAAGGCUCUAACUUCAGUUAGAGCCUUCGACAGUCAAACAAAGUGGUGUACAUGGGAUAAAUAGAAGAAGUAAAUAAAUAGAUGACAAUAAAAAGUAAAAUUUAAAACAGUAGAAUAAAAAACAGACAAAAGUGGUGAAUCUGUAACUUACUGUAACUAUUAAUAUUACGAUGACAACAUACAUUUACAUAAACAUUUUUACUGGGAAAGGGUAAAAAGUCAAAUGUUAAUAAACUUUAAAUUUCAGCAUAAAUGAUCUAAAUGAAAUAACGUUAAUAAAGGUUUUUAAAAAUGUACCCACCCCAUUUCAUAAUACUGAUAUACAAAAUACAAUCUAUAUAUUUUUUAAAUGAAAAUCAACAUCUAAAAGGUCCUGUAAAUGUCCGACUCAGUUUUAUCAGUGACUUUUUUUUUUCGUUUUUCACCUUUCAUGAUUUUUCGCUCAAUAACCUUGUUAUUUAUUCCACUUUGACUUAAUUUCAGCACAAUUUUGCCUCUGUCUGAAACAUUUCUCUUUGGCAUCUUUUAGUGUCUGUGGGUGUUACUUUUUACACAGCUGUGAAGCUCCAUCUUUAAAUAAAGAGUCUGAGGUUAGCCGCUAGCACCCGCUGAGUUUUAUAUUUAUCCACAUUAGCAUUCGGCGGCUGUUAUUACAUCACAAAACAAGCAAUUCAGCAAAACCUGGCGAAGCAUAUGGAAAUGACGCUUCCAUCAGUAUAUCGCAUGUUGUUUAACUUUGCUGCAGUUCAGUUUAGUCAUCCAACGGUUUAACACUAUGUGUAUUUAUAUGUUUAAGUUCAUAACAGUUCCAACUAAGAAACUGGUGACAAAGAAAUCAGCAAAAAUGUAGGAUCUUUUCUCUAACACAGCUAAACACCAGCUCACAAAGUCAUAAAUAAUAACACCGGCCUUAGGUAAAAGUUUACUUUAAUACUUGAUUAAAAUACUAGAUUUAUCGUGUAGUAGAUGCACAUAUCCUUAGUUUUGAUGGCGAUUCAAUAUUCAUAACAAGUUAUCACAAGUAAUGCUGGCUUAGGUGGAGUAAAAGAAACAACUUAAUUAACGUGGGAUGUUGAAUUUUGCACAAGUAUAAAUACUGUUGUUUUAGACUGUAUAUGUAGAUAAAAACAUAUGUAGUUAUCACUGAAAUAUAAGCUGCUCAGUUGAAGUUUAUUAAAGUCACACCUCAGGUUUCGAGUCUUUCCACUUGUCUCUCAAAAAUCCAAACUAAGGCUGAGAGACUUUCCUGCUGCUGAAUAUAAAUUUUCAGCCUGAUAUAAAUUUAAACAUCCUGAUCCAGUUGAGUAAAGGACAGUAAAUUUUUUAUCAAGACGGCACAGCAUAAUAAAACGAUCCAUUAAAGGGAUAUUCCGUCUGUUUGUGUUCAGCAUGUUUACAGUUAGGAGACUGCUGUCUUUGAUUUCAUGUUACCUCUCAUUGUGUAACUCCUCAUGGACAUUAUAAUCCACAGCUCGGAGUGUGUUUACAUGUUUGUGUCUUGUAUCAGUGACUACGUGUGUGUUUAUUCAUGUAUGCAGCCCCGUGUGUGUGUCUGUGAGUGUGUGUGUGUUGGUGUACGGUCCCUGUGCGGCUGUUCCCCUGCUGUAGACGCCUGUUCUGGCGAUAGCAUUGUCUCCAUGUCCAAAGACCUGCCGGCUGCCCUAUUCCACCACGUCUUUAUCAUGCUAAUACAGAGGAAAGGAGGGAGGAGAGGAGGAGGAGGGAAGGAUAGCUCAACAAACAGAGGAAGAGGAGUAAUCUUUCCCCUCCUCUCUUCAUUCUCACCACCUCCUCCUCCUCCUCCUCCGUCCUCUCUCCUUCCCUUUCUUCUCGUCCUCCCUCCCUCUUCAUCUGCUGCUUUCUUAUCUUCCUCCCGUACUUCUUUGAUAAUCCCUCCCAACAUUGUCUUCAUAAUUACACACAACAAUGAUUCUCAUCCGCGCAAGAGAAAUGUGCGCCGUGCAUGGAGAAUAUUUCAUAGAUGAAGACCAGAAUGUGAAUUAAUAACUUGCUUCUCUAAUAUAUAAGGCUGUGUCUGUGCUCUGUGUGUGUGCGUGUGCGCGUGUGUGUGUGAGUGUGUGUCAGAGGGGGGAGCAGUGUUGUUUUAACACGACUGUUACAUUAUGCAUGCUGACAGGCCUGCCUGUCCCCAUUAAAGGCCCAUCUUGUUUCCCCAUUAUAUCUGCUUUCUCAGUUAAUAGAGCUCUUUGUGUGGCACUUCCCUUUAUUCUCCGGCUGUUACAACAGAAAGGUCAGCGCCCGCACAACCUGACACACUGACGCUGCGGCUCCCAGAGACCCGGAGUGACGACAACUGUGCGGACCUUUUAUUACAGCUCUGCCUUCAAGAGGCGGCGCAGUACGUCACUUCUCUUACGUCGACGACUUCUUACUCAGACGUUUUAAAUCAGACGGAGAAGUUAGGAAGAGAAAUGUUCGCUGUGUUGACAUGGACCACUGUCAGAGUAAACUGGUGUGAUCAGGCCCUUUAGGACAGGAAGUUCAUCCUAAUCCUGAGGGGGUGAUAAAACUGUUUCGAACUAUCUUCUUUUAGCUUGAACCCUGAGCUCUUGAUCGCUGAUAUUUCCUAAACUAAAUGAUUAUUUUCUUCCUGUAAUACAAGGGUGACAUCCCCUUUUGGGGAGCUGUCCGGCCUGUGGAGUUUUUUUUUAAUCCUUCAAAUGUCCAGGGUUUUGUAUGGGAGCCUGUUUCUGCAAGUGGGGGAAAAAACAAUGAGAUAAAAUGUCGUCUAUUAUUUUUUUUAAUUUUUGGGAAUUAAGAACAUGCGCGUAAAAAACACUCAACCCAGAAAAACCCUCGAAAUUUUGCACACAACUUUCAAUAUGGUCACCCAAUGUUAUGCCCCGUCUAAGGGAGGCCAGGAUGCAAUUUUUUUUUUUUUUGUAGGACGGUAGAGGAAAGUCCCGCCCUCCUUCCCCUCUGAUUGGCUAGAAAAGCUACAUCAUCACACGCUCAAGUCAAACGCGAGCCGUCGGCUCUGUACAUCGAACAGAACAUUACAGAACAUUAUCGCCCUUCUGAAUCGCCUAACCCGACAGACAAUAACGUUUCACAGCCAUAAGGAAUAACCAAUCGGAGCCCAGCACUUCUAGUCAGAGGCGAAGGAGGGCGGGACCUUCCCCUAUCAUCCUGCAAUAAAAACGCAGCCAGGACACAACAUGAAUAAGACCCAUUUGCCUCAAGUUCCAAACAACUUUAGAAGUUAUUUCAAGUUAUUAGUUAUUUGAUUAAAUUCAAAUUAACUAGCAAACGUCCAGCUCUAACUGAGAGGUAAAGUAACUAACCUGCAGCUCAAAGAAACUAAAAUGACCAUCACUCGCCUCUCUAGCUAACAAACAUCUCUCAGCUGAUUUAGGUAAAAAUCCUUUGAUCGUCCAAUCAGCUAACAAGGUUUUUCACACGUAUUUUUUGGCUAAAGAUUUUGACUUUAUAAUAAAACAGCUAAAGGUAAAGAAACAUUACACCAAUUUUUUUAAAGCAUCUAGCCUGUCUGGAUCCUUUUUUUUCUCACACACCUCUUUCUCCUUUAACGAAACCAAUCACUGAAAAAACAUGUUGAGGUGUGAAGCGGCAGUUUUUAAUUGUACAUUAUCUGUAACAUAAAAUAAACAAAGAUUUAGUGAUAGUAUAAGAAGCUGCAGCUUCUUUUGUUAGGCUAAAUGUUGUGUUGACUCUCACAUGUUAAUCAAAUGACUUCAGCGUCCCUGUAAAAAACAGGGGUGGGAAUCACAGUAGCCCCACGAUAUGAUAUCAUCACGAUACUUGAGCCAUGAUACGAUAUUAUUGAGAUUUUUAACAUUUUGCAAUAUAGUGAGUAUUGCGAUACAAUAUAUUGCAAUUUAUUUAAUUUUUUCAACUGUUUAGCUAAUUUAGCAUAUAUAUAUAUAUAUAUAUAUAUAUAUAUAUAUAUAUAUAUAUAUAUAUAUAUAUGUCUUCCUAUAUUAUAUUUUCAUGUAGCACAUCUUGCAAACCUUACGAAUAUUUGUUGCUCUAACUUUUUCCUGCUCUACGAUAACACCUCUGCCAAUCUCACUGGACAAACAGUUGAUUUUAUUUUUCCAUUAUCAUAGAUUUGACUUCAUAUUAACAAUUAAUUUGAAAAACGAUACUUGGUAAAUGCUCGAUAGGAUAUAUCACCAGACAAAAUAUCGCAAUACUUUGUUUUAUCGAUUUUUUUCUCCCGCCCCUAGUGAAAAAAUAGAAGUGGGAUCUCUAAUAAAGUCAAUAUUUAGACGUAAAGAUGCGAUUCUUUCAGAGUGAAGAUCAGAGCUAAGGGGAUUAGAAACAGGAAUAUUCAGGUGGUCAGAUUCCAGGUUGAAAUGCUCCCUUGCUCACCCCCGUCCUGAGAGCGAAACAACGGGGGCCUUCAAGGACGAGAAGCUCCUGAUGAAAGGUCUGAUCCUCCACUUGCAAAGUUUAGAAACACAGUGGUUGGAAGAAAAAGCAAAAUCUUGAAGCGGAAGAAGCUUUCAUCAGUCAUUCGGUUACAUCUUUCACUCCAGCUCAAUUCACAUGUUAUUAACAGUAUAGAGUGAAAACAUACGACCCUUUAAAGAUGACUUCUCUUCCAAUAAGACAUCAAACCUGCGGUCAUAAAUCUGCCUCAUCUCAUCAGUCAGAGGCUGUGCGGAUAAAAUAUGAACCAUUUGACGUCCCAAAUGAAAUAAAGGCACAUCCACCAAUCUUUCCCUAUUUCAGUACCCAUAAUUCUGUGGGCUCUGGGCAUGUUUGGACGUGCCUCCAUCCAAAUUCUGUCACAGCGAGAAAAAUGCCUCACUGAGAGCAUGUGUGUGAUUAUAUUUGCAUCAAAUCCAUCAAGCGGUUUAACAUAGCUACCACUUAGAAAUCCUCCAUCAUCACAACCUCUGUUGGAAGGACUUCAUUAUAAUAACUGCGUGAAAUAAUAUCCACUCUGUCUGCCAUCUUUUCACUUCAUAUCCUUCCUCUUUUUUCUCCUCUCUUUGUUACCUUUCUGACCUCCCCGUCGCUCCUUCCUCCUCUCUCUCUUCCUCUCUCAUGUGAGUCCGCUGUGUGCAGGCCUCUGCCACUGAUCCAUGGAUGGUAAUGGCCAUUCCUGCUGCUCCCACAGCACACACCAUUACAGCUGGAACACCCAGACUGAGAGAGCGGGAGAAGGGAAAAGACCGAGAGAGAGAGGUGGAUAAAGUAUGGGCAGUAAGAGGAAGUAUUUUGGUUUAAAAUACAGUAUAAUCAUGGCAUGAAAUAGGAAGCAUAGCAGCACGUGGGGGGUGUAGAAAGGGCAUGUGUGCACUGGGGUUCAGGGAAUCAUGAUUCAGGAAGGUAUUGCUCGAUUGUUCCCGGCCAAAGGUGAUGAUUUAAGAGGCAAAAAAAACAUCAUCUAAUGACGAUAACUUGAGACAAAUGAUUCAUGCAUUAAUUAUGCUUUCUAUCCUCCAUAUUCCUAUUGUUUUUAACGUAUGCUAGAUUUUUUAUUGAGUGUUACACAUAGACUGUUUAUAGUAUGGACAGUGUGAAGUCUCCCUUCAAAGCCAAAAAGGUCUCUGUAUUUCGGGGAUUUUCUCCACUUCCUAAAAAACGGCAUUUGUGAACGUAUGGUGGUAGAAUGUUUUGAUGCUGCUCAGAUCAAAAAGCGUAUCCUCCUGGGUGAGCGACGCAAUCUUCGUACGCCUAUAGGCUGUAUCGAGUGUCAAUCAUAGAUAACAUGGACUCCCUAAUGACUUCAAAAAUUGAGCUGCACAGUCUAACAAUAACUACAUGUCAGCAUCGCAACCCGGGGCGACAAAAGUCAAAUGAUUUGUAUUUCAUUUUUAAAGUGUGUCUACAGCUUCCUUUAUUUUGCUGGAGGAGGCAGGGCUUGUGACCUAUAGUGCAACCAGCCACCAGAGGGUGCUGUUCUCGCGGUGGCUUCAUCCAGCAAGGCUGGCUUCAUUUUUUACGCCAUAAUGUCACCACCUCGUGACAAAUCCUCCUGAUGCGUCAGUCUCAACCAUUUUGGAAGGAAACUCUCGAAGGGGACCCCUUCUCUAUCUAAUUUACUCAGAUGUUCGUGCAAACUCACAGAUGAGAUAUGGCUCUUGGACAGAGUGAGUCAUUUAUACAAAUCAAGCUAGUAAACAGAAAUAUACUGGUACUGUAAAUGAAGGGAGCUCUGGAUUGCCAUCAAACAAACAACGAGAAAAAGGAUAAACUACAGUUGUUGAACUCCCUAUAACCACGAAGGUCUGGUGGUGGUAUUCUGCUGAUCGCAAAGGCCUGUAGUCCACUUUAACGCCCUGUCAGUGGUCCCAAAUGUCAAGCUGACAUAAACAAUCGAAUAUUCAGCUCUAAAUAUUCCAGUUUAGGCCAUAAUGAUGUAUUUAAAUAUGUUACAGGUCUUUUUUGAUGGGAAGUUUUCACGCUAAAAUAACUUAGAGUGUCUUUGGAUCCUUGCACUUCAGACGAUGCUACAACCCCCUGUCUGUAGCUGUGUGUGUGUGUGUGUGUGUGUGUGUGUGUGUGUGUGUGUGUGUGUGUGUAAAUACAUCAUUUCAUGGUGCGGAUUAGAGAGGACCAGGUAAGAUAUCUUGUUUCCUGUGACCUGCUCAUCGGGAGGUUUCCCACACUCAUCACUUGGCUCUAUCACAUCCUUCUUACUGAGAUAUAAAACAUGUAGACACUGUUCCCUUUGACCCCAUACACACACACACACACACACACACACACCUAAACACACACACCUACACACACAGAAAUAAAAGACACACCGUUACCUCACAUACUUCCCAUACUGUUAUAUGCUACUAAGCUGUAAAUCCAAAUUAUCUCCUAAUACACUCGUACUCUUUUUUUUUUAUGUGUGUGUGCGUUUUUGUGUGUGUGUCUGUGUGUGUGUAUGUAAUGCUAUAUUCCUGUCAUGCUGAAAACUUGAGAGAUGUGUUCGUUUCCUGUAACUCACUGUGGGUUAUGAUAACAACCGUUUCUCCUGUCAACAGCCCAUAAUGUCAGAUUUACAGGGUUGCCCCCGGUAACCAGCCGGGCUGGCGUGGCUGAGUGAUUCUACAGCAUCUGUCAGAGCUGGAGAGGCCAUCUAUCACACACGCACACACACACACACACACACACACUGGCUCUCAAACACAGAUUUCUAAUGUGUCUCUUGUACAGAUUUUCAGAGACGAGCUGUCGACAUGAAUUAUCGAACACUUUUCCUGUGCGCCUCGCUCCUUCUCUUCCAGGCCGUCCUCCCAGAAUAAUGUCAUCAUCGGCUGAUCCUGGAAACGACGUUAAACUCUGUGCGUCUGCAGCUAACAGAGGAACUCAUUGAUGAAGAGGAAGGAGUCGAAAUCGUGACUUAAAUCAGGAAAAGUUUGAAGAGAUGAAGCCCUUGCAUGAGACGAACUGACACAGUUGUUAGCCAGGACGCUGGCCUGCCUUGGCGCCACCUCUUUGAAAACUCAAGUCUGGUUAAGUCAGCAUUUCCAAUAUGGCGACUGCCAAGAGCUUCAAAACCCCUCUUCAUCACUGAGACACAGCGCCAUUUAAAACCCUUAAAUCAGCCUCAACCAGUCCGAAUUUUUCACUGGAAGAUUCACAUUUCAGAGUUUUCCCAGCACUAUCAACCAUUGGCCGAGGAGAGGAAAUAUGACGAAUUUUCCAGGAACCACGUCAUUGUGGUUUUUUGAAAUAUCUUUUAAAUCAGAUCUGGAGCGCGAGUCAUCAGAGAAAACAAAUCUGUUGAAAUGUUUCAUCUCAUAUAUAAAACACAGCUGUGCCCUCAGUGUCUCUGUUAAUUAGCGUACUCUUGAUAAAAGGUUCGGAGUACUUUCAUGUGCUCUCUCAGGGCUUUAGAGUGCUUUUAUUGUCAUUGUUUAGCAUUUAUUAGAGAGGAGAGAGGAGAAUUGGGAAGAAUAGAGAUUGGUGGAAAAACAUUUGAACUGUCUUUUUGUGUGAUAUUUAUUGUGUUCAGCAACGUGUAGUUUUUAUGUAGAUGUGUAGAGGUGUGAGGGGGUUAUCAAAUCGUAC